UGAGGGUCGACAUUUCUGCCUCACGUGUUAUGUUGCACAGACCUUGUGACUCUGUGUUGUGCGGUGUUGUAAUCUGAGUUUACUUUGUUCAUCGGGAUGGGCUCUGAGUUACAGUUAUUAUCAUGUACCGUGGACUGAAUAUUGAGUAGUAAAUUGCCAUGUACCGUGCACUGAUUAUUGAGAAGCUAUGACACUGUUGACUUUGAAAUGCGCAGAUGAUCCGCUACAAACUACUACUACAUCCGUCCUGCUUUACUAGGGUUCUUAUCUGAACAUAAUUUUCAAUGAUAUUAUUUUUGCUACUUAUAACGUUAUUUUAUUAGUUAAAAUAAUAGUCAAAAUAUAGCCCAAAAUAUGAAGGUGGAGGUAGUACGGUAGGAAGGAGUCUGGACUCUAGAUGAUCUGAUACCGAUUAUACAUGGUCUCUCCGACAACAUUACUCCUAUAAAGAAUGACGAAGUACCUGCCUCUUGGGGGCAUCCUCGCUUGCGAGUGCCCCUCCACGCCAUUUGAUCUGUGCGCAUUGAUGCCGGUCUAGCGCCCUCCCCGCUGCGCGAUCAGGUUAUUCUUUGCCUCACCUUCCCGCCGAUUUUAGGGGCCCAUGGGCCACGGGUGCACUCGGGGUCACAUUUUUGUGGCAUAUUAUGUCUUUCCAUUGCUUAUGCAUUUUCUAGGUUGGGUAAGAGCGAGUGCCAUUUUAUCCUAAGGAUGACUCGGAGGUGGAUGACUGGAGGCGGCUGCUUGGCAUGAGUUGAGUCAUUUGUUUAUCCCCAUCCAGGUGCGGGGUGUACCUGGCUCGAUUUGUGGUGUCUCAAUGUUUCAUGGACGCAUGCCACUGAGACUGCCCCUUGAAGGGAUGGCGGGGAGGGUGCUCGGUUUGCGCUAAUCGGAGUCCUGGGCUCGGCCAUUGCUCGGCGUUUAUCGGACCCGAUNNNNNNNNNNNNNNNNNNNNNNNNNNNNNNNNNNNNNNNNNNNNNNNNNNNNNNNNNNNNNNNNNNNNNNNNNNNNNNNNNNNNNNNNNNNNNNNNNNNNNNNNNNNNNNNNNNNNNNNNNNNNNNNNNNNNGUUGGGGAGGUUAUUCGGCUUGUGCUAGUCGGGUUUCGGCGGGACGUGCCUCGUGGGCGGAUCUUUUCUGUUGCAUUGCCCAGCCAGUGGGUGCAUUAUGUGUUGCGUUGAUACAGUGUUUGUCUAUGUUGUUUGUACAUCGCUUUUGGAUGUUCUUUCUCUAGUACUGGCGCUGUGUCCACGUAUUUCAGCAUGUGAGGUGAGUUUAAUGGUCUUGGUUGCCUCUAUGGUCUCGUUGCUCAUGCGUUUUUUUUGUUUCCUUUACAUUUGCUGCUUUAUGCUGCACGAUCAGAUGCCAUGAUUUUUGGAUUAUGCUCAGUACUUUUGACUUUUGGAUUAUGUCUGUUUUUUUCUAGGUUUUCUUCAAGAAUUUUUUUAGGUGUCUUUUCGUAGCGUGAAGCACAACUGUACUUUCCUAAAAGAGAAGAAAACACAAUUGUGCUUCCCAAAAAAGAAAAGAACAUAUGUGCCUCCAUAAGAAGCACAUUUGUGCUGCCUGACUGUGCUUCCCCUUCCGUGAGAAGCAGAGUUGUUUGAUGGGGUCACAUACCUAGGGUAGGGUCAUGGACCUGAUCUAAGUACCUUACCCAAGGACACCCUUAGAAGAGGUCGCCUUCCAGUCGACCAACGAGGGACUCACUCGACUGACUUGAAGGACUCGACCACGAAGACUCACUCGACCACCAGAAGGUCAAGAGGCACUCUACACUGCAACGGCCUGUAAUUAAGUAGACUUUAUGGUAGUAAAGACACUUUAUGUGGGGCGUUAUCAGUAACGCCCCGGACUUAACUCACCUUAAACCCUCUCCUACGUGGGCUGACUGGGGUCCCGGCGCACUCUAUAUAAGCCGCCCCCCUCCACAGGUAGAGGGGUUCGGCACCUUGUAACUCAUAUACUCAUAAUCCACUCGACCGCCUCCGGGCGCCGAGACGUAGGGCUAUUACUUCUUCCGAGAGGGGCCUGAACUCGUACAUCCCUUGUGUUUACAACCUCUCCAUAGCUAGGACCUUGCCUCUCCAUACCUACCCCCCACUCUACUGUCAGGAUUAGAACCACGACAGUUGGCGCCCACCUUGGGGCAGGUGUUUUAGCGAUUUUGUGGAGAAGUUGUGAUUCUUCCGAGUACUUUCAUCAUGGUGUCUGCUGGAGUUUUGGUCAAAGGUCGAGAGAUCUGUCUCGGCACUCUCACCUUCAUCGCCGACGACUCCGCCUGGCUCCAGGAGGCUCCACUCGACGUUGAUGCGCUCCCCGUCCGCGGUGCGACGCAUUUUCGCGCAUGUGUCCGCGGCGUUCUGCUGCGGCAACCGUCGACCCCGUAUCGGACGACUCCUCCAUCGUCCACCCUCCCGGUCUCCCGCCAGCGCAAGCGCUCGGGCCGAUCGAGGCUUCAGCGAUGGGUGAGGCACGCGGUGGCUCGCCAAUCGGCCACCACCCAAGUUGCGGCAAUCGAGCCCGACGAAUCUCUCUACGGCUUGUUCGAUCUGUCGACUGGCUCCGUAGAGACUGCAUCCGAGUGCGGUAGCAGUGAUCCAGCGGCGGAAAUCUUGAUGGUCGACGGGCCCCGCAGUCCCCCUGGCUUCGCCCGUGAUGGUGGAGCAGGUGACGGAGGCGACCCCGCACGAGGCCACGAAGAGUACCAGCCCGAGCCACUCGACUCUCUGCAAAGAGAGGAACUUCGCCGCAGGAACGUGGAUGCUCUGCGUACUCCCAUCGCAGGAGAAACCCCCGAGGCUCGUGCCUUGGAGGAGGCGCGUCUGGCCAAUUUGGCCGAACGCACUCGACUGGAGAAUCUUCAGCGAGCACUCGACGAGCGCGCGCGGUAACGAGUUCCCGACACCAGUCGACGUCAACUCUUCCCGCCGACUCAGGUAUAUCGAACCCCAAUCCAGAAUUUAGCAGCUGCGACCCGUAUAGCAGAGUCCAUCCAGCCUUCGCAGUCAGAAGCUGGCAGAGGUUUGCUGCAGAUCAGGGAUCUGCUCCGGGCAGCAGGAGAUCAGAAUUCAGCCGUGUCUCAGUCGCACAACAGAAUUCACAGUCGAUCCGUCACUGCGAAUACGGUUCAGUUGGCUCACAACCCCAGAUCGCCUCCGCGGCGUGAAGGGCGCGAGAAUCGGUGAGAUCAAUAUGGCGACCGACUCGACCGAGAUGAUAGGCGUCGAGUGCCCAAUUCCCCUCCGAGGGGUGGGUCUUACGCUCCUCGGCAGCAAGAUGACAGGCGUCAGUACAGUACAGGGCGAAGGGUUCCAGUCGACCCCAGAGAACCAGGCUUCGACGCGCGAUCCAUUAUCGUGCAAGGUUUGGUCGACCGGAACAGAGCCCAUCGAGGCAGACUCGACAGAGAUGCACCCACAAGCAGUCGAGUGCAUGUUUCUGGUCCUGAAUGUUUCAGCAGAGCUAUCAGAGCCGCAGUUAUCCCUCCCAAUUUCAGGUUGGCAACAGGAGUCAGCAAGUUCACUGGUGAGUCUAAGCCUGAAACUUGGCUUGAGGACUACCGAGUGGCAGUUUAGAUUGGUGGUGGGAACGACGAGGUGGCCAUGAAGCAUUUACCCCUCAUGCUGGAAGGUUCUGCCAGGGCAUGGUUAACUCAAUUACCGCCUAGCAGCAUUUACACUUGGGAAGAUUUGUCCCGAGUGUUCAUCAGAAUGUUUGAAGGAACUUGCAAGCGACCAGCUGGACUGACAGAGUUGCAAGUCUGCGUGCAGAAGACCAAUGAGACUCUCAGAGAGUAUAUUCAGAGAUGGAUCACUUUGCACCACACUGUGGAGAAUGUGUCUGAUCAUCAGGCAGUCUGCGCCUUCAAAGAUGGCGUCAAGAACAGAGAACUGAGUUUGAAGUUUGGUCGAACCGGUGACAUGACCUUGAGUCGGAUGAUGGAGAUUGCUACCAAGUACGCCAACGGCGAAGAAGAAGACCGACUCCGAAGCGGCAAGCACAAGCCGAGUCAGUCGGAAAAAGGAAACACCAGUCGGAAACAGAAGCGGAAGGCUGAACCGGCAGCUCUAGGAGAGGCUCUGGCCGUGACUCAGGGAAAGUUUAAGGGGAAACCAAAAGGAUCCUGGAACCCCAAGAAGGUAAAGGAUAAAGAAGGGAACGACGUAAUGGAUAUGCCAUGUCACAUCCACACGAAGAAAGACGAAGAGGGGAAUAUCAUCUACCCGAAGCACACCACUCGCCAAUGUCGACUCCUGAUCCAACAGUUUCAGGGAAAACAGUCUAAGGACAAGGAGAAGGAGUCGGACAAGGCUGAAGACAAGGAGGACAGUGAGGAAGGAUAUCCGCAUAUCAACUCCACUCUGAUGAUCUUUGCAGAUGUGGAAAGCAGGAGUCGACUGAAAGUCAUUAACCGAGAGGUGAACAUGGUUGCCCCAGCAAAAGCAAAUUAUCUGAAAUGGUCUCAAAUACCCAUCACAUUCGACCAAUCUGAUCACCCGACUCAUAUUGCCACCCCUGGGAGGCAAGCUUUGGUGGUCGAUCCAGUUGUUGAAGGCACUCGACUGACAAAAGUGCUGAUGGACGGUGGAAGCGGGCUGAAUUUGUUGUAUGCAGACACACUGAAAGGAAUGGGCAUUCCGAUGUCCCGACUGAGCACUAGUAACAUGAACUUUCAUGGAGUUAUACUAGGGAAGAAAGCCGAGUCACUCGGCCAAAUAGCUUUGGACGUGGUGUUUGGUGAUUCGAAACAUUUUCGCAAAGAAAAGUUGACGUUUUAGGUCGUGGAUUUUCAGAGUGCAUAUCAUGCCAUUUUGGGGAGACCAGCUUACGCACGGUUCAUGGCUCAACCAUGUUACGUGUACCUCAAAUUGAAGAUGCCCGGCCCCAAAGGAGUGAUCACUGUCACCGGUGAUCGGAAAAAGGCAGAAGAGUGCUUUCAGAAGGGCUCAAAGAUUGCCGAUUCCCAGGUGACAGCGGUCGAGUUCGAGGAAUACAAGCAAAACGCAGAUCCGAGUGACUUGCUGCGAUCAAAGAAACCCGCCACAGAGUCUGCAUUCCAGUCGUCUGGUGAGACGAAGCCUGUUCACGUUCACCCGACCGACCCCGAUGCAGCUCCGACCCGCAUCUCCACAACACUCGACCCAAAAUAGGAAGAAGCGCUCAUCCAGUUCCUCCGUGAGAACUGGGACAUUUUUGCAUGGAAGCCCGCUGACAUGCCAGGUGUUCCCAGGGGACUGGCUGAGCAUCGCCUAAGAGUCGACUCGUCUGCAAAACCAGUCAAAGAGCAUCUUCGGCAGUCCGCCGUCCAGAAGAGAAAAGCCAUUGGUGAGGAAGUGGCUCGACUGUUGGCGGCAGGAUUUAUCCGAGAGAUAUACCACUCCGAGUGGCUCGCUAAUGUCGUCAUGGUUCCUAAGAAGGACAAGUCGCUCCGAAUGUGCAUUGAUUUCAAGCACAUCAACCGGGCCUGCCUGAAAGAUCAUUUUCCUCUCCCUCGCAUAGAUCAAAUUGUUGACUCGACCGCGGGAUGCGAGAGGCUGUCUUUUUUAGAUGCCUACUCUGGGUACCACCAGAUCCGUUUGUACGGACCCGACGAGGUAAAAACAGCUUUCAUCACUCCAUUCGGGUGCUUCUGCUAUAUCACCAUGCCAUUCGGCCUCAAGAAUGCCGGAGCCACAUUUAUGCGAAUGAUUCAGAAGUGUCUACUCACUCAAAUCAGUCGGAAUGUGGAAGCGUAUAUGGAUGAUAUCGUUGUCAAGUCACGAAAAGGUUCCGACCUGCUCGCUGAUCUCGCCGAAACAUUUGCCAACCUCAGAAGAUAUGAUAUCAAGCUCAAUCCAUCAAAGUGCACAUUUGGAGUUCCUAGUGGCAAGUUACUCGGUUUUCUCGUUUCCGAACGGGGAAUCGACGCUAACCCAGAGAAGAUUGGCACUAUUCUCCGAAUGAAAUGCCCUGUGCGAGUGCACGAUGUCCAGAAGCUUACUGGAUGCUUGGCCGCAUUAAGUCGAUUCAUUUCACGACUCGGUGAAAAGGCAUUGCCUCUUUACCGACUGAUGAAGAAGACAGACAAGUUCGAGUGGACUCCAGAAGCUGAUGCAGCGUUUGCCGAGCUAAAAGCUCUGCUCUCCACCCAGCCGGUGCUUGCUGCUCCAAUCAGCAAAGAGCCUCUGUUGCUCUAUAUCGCAGCCACAGGACAAGUCGUUAGUACUGUGCUUACGGUCGAGCGGGAAGAAGAAGGAAAAGCUCUCAAAGUUCAGCGCCCAGUGUAUUAUUUGUCUGAAGUCUUGACUCCAUCCAAGCAGAGAUAUCCUCAUUAUCAGAAGCUUGUGUAUGGAAUAUACAUGACCACAAAGAAGGUUCCUCAUUAUUUUUCAGAUCAUUCCAUCACAGUCGUCAGUGACGCUCCACUAUCAGAGAUUUUGCACAACAGAGAUGCAACUGGUCGAGUGGCCAAAUGGGCGAUUGAACUUCUUCCCCUUGAUAUCAAGUUUGAGGCAAAGAAAGCCAUUAAGUCCCAGGCAAUAGCAGAUUUCCUCGCCGAGUGGAUUGAACAACAGCAGCCGACUGAAGUUCACUCGGAGCAUUGGACCAUGUUCUUUGAUGGCUCUAAGAUGUUGAAUGGUUCCGGUGCUGGGGUUGUCCUGGUUUCCCCCAGAGGAGAUAAGCUCAGAUAUGUGCUCCAAAUUCACUUUGAUUCCUCCAACAAUGAGGCAGAAUAUGAGGCCCUCUUAUAUGGGUUGCGCAUGGCCAUUUCACUCGGCGUCCGUCGCCUGAUGGUCUAUGGCGACUCGGAUUUAGUGGUCAACCAGGUGAUGAAAGAGUGGGACGUGAGAAGCCCAGCCAUGACUGGAUACUGCAGUGCAGUGAGGAAGCUGGAAAAGAAGUUCGAGGGGUUGGAGCUCCAUCAUAUACCCCGACUGAAAAAUCAAGCAGCUGAUGAUCUAGCAAAGAUAGGUUCCAAGAGAGAAGCCAUUCCGAGUGGUGUGUUCUUGGAGCAUAUACACACUCCGUCAGUCAAAGAAGAUCCUUUCACCGAAGAAACUCCACAGCCCAAGAGUGCCACAGAUCCGACUGAGGUUGAAGUCCCAGCGGUGGUCGACUUGAUCAUGGAGGUCUUGGUGGUCAUUCCCGACUGGACAGUUCCAUACGUUGCGUAUAUCCUGAGAAAAGAGCUUCCGGAGGAUGAGGAAGAGGCUCGACAGACCGUCCGUCGAUCUAAGGCCUUUACCGUAAUCAAAGGACAAUUGUACAGAGAAAGCGCGACUGGAGUUGGCCAGAAGUGCAUAACACCAGAAGAAGGUCGACUCAUCCUCAAUGAUAUCCACUCGGGAACCUGUGGUCAUCAUGCGUCCUCUCGGACCAUCGUGGCCAAAGCAUACCGAGCCGGAUUUUACUGGCCAAAGGCGAAUGAGAUGGCAAAAGAGAUAGUGGAUAAGUGCGAGGGAUGUCAGUUCUACUCGAAUAUGUCGCACAAGCCUGCGUCGGCUCUGAAGACCAUCCCACUCGUCUGGCCUUUCGCAGUAUGGGGAUUGGACAUGGUCGGUCCUUUGAGAACAGGACGAAGUGGCUUCACGCAUGUACUGGUGGCAGUCGACAAGUUCACCAAGUGGAUCAAGGCUAAACCAAUCAAGAACCUUGACACCGGUACUGUUGUUAGCUUCAUCAGGGAACUAAUAUUCAGAUAUGGAGUCCCGCACAGCAUCAUUACGGAUAAUGGGUCGAACUUUGACUCGGAGGAAUUCAGAGAUUUCUGCAACUCCCAAGGCACACGAGUCGACUACGCUUCAGUCGCCCAUCCGCAGUCGAAUGGACAAGCAGAGCGAGCUAAUGGACUGAUUCUUAAGGGAUUGAAGCCCCGACUGAUGCGUGAUCUCAAACACGCGGCUGGAGCUUGGGUCGACGAACUUCCCUCAGUGCUUUGGGGGCUGCGGACCACACCUAAUCGGUCGACCGGAAGAACUCCAUUCUUCUUGGUCUACGGAGCUGAAGCAGUCUUGCCAAGUGAUCUUCUCCACAAUGCUCCUCGAGUUGAAAUCUACAACAAAGCAGAGGCUGAACAAGCGCGGCAGGACGCAGUCGACCUUUUAGAGGAAGAAAGGGAGAUGGCUCUGAUCCGGUCGACCAUCUACCAACAAGAUUUGCGUCGUUUCCACGCCAGAAAUGUGAGAGGUCGAGCCUUCCAGGAAGGAGAUUUAGUUCUCCGAGUGGAUCAGCACAAACCACACAAGCUUGCUCCUUCUUGGGAAGGUCCCUUCAUCGUCACCAAGGUUCUCCACAACGGGGCGUACCGUCUUUACAACGUCGAGCAUAAUAUCGACGAGCCCCGAGCUUGGAACGCGGAACUACUCCGCCCAUUUUAUACUUAAGUUUUAUCACUCGGAUGAGUUGCAAUAAAGUACUUCUGUAGUUCAUGGACCUCAAAAUAAUAGUGUCAUAGUUCCUCCAUAAUUUCUGUCACUUUUUAUUUUUGUCCAAUAAAAUUCCCCCUGAGUGGGUGACUUAGCCGCGAAUCCGUUUCGCCUAAGUUUGUAAAAAUCCUACCGAGUGAUGAGCCAGACUCCCACUCGGAGGCUUAGCCGCGAAUCCGUUUCGCCUAAGUUUGUAAAAAUCCUACCGAGUGGUGAGCCAGACUCCCACUCGGAGGCUUAGCUGCGAAUCCAUUUCGCCUAAGUUAUCAAAAUCCUACCGAGCGGUAAGCCAGACUUCCACUCGGAGGCUUAGCUGCAGUCCAAGGACUCGCCUAAGUUAUAAAAAUCCUACCGAGUGAAGAGCAAACCUCUCACUCGGGGGCUUAGCUGCAGUCCAAGGACUCGCCUAAGUUAUAAAAAUCCUACCGAGUGGUGAGCUAGACUCCCACUCGGAGGCUUAGCUGCGAAUCCGUUUCGCCUAAGUUAUCAAAAUCCUNNNNNNNNNNAAAAAUCCUACCGAGUGAAGAGCAAACCUCUCACUCGGGGGCUUAGCUGCAGUCCAAGCACUCGCCUAAGUUACAAAAAUCCUACCGAGUGAAGAGCAACCCUCUCACUCGGAGGCUUAGCUGCAGCCCAGUGCUAGCCUAAGUUAUCAAAAUCCUACCGAGUGGUAAGCCAGACUUUCACUCGGGGGCUUAGCUGCAGCCCUGUGCUCGCCUAAGUUGUAAAAAAUCCUACCGAGUGAAGGGCAACCCUCUCACUCGGAGGCUUAGCUGCAGUCCAAGCACUCGCCUAAGUUAUAAAAAUCCUACCGAGUGAAGAGUAAACCCCUCACUCGGAGGCUUAGCUGCAGCCCAAUGCUCGCCUAAGUUAUAGAAAUCCUACCGAGUGGUAAGCGGGGCUUCCACUCGGAGGAUUAGCCGCAGCCCAGUGCUCGCCUAAGUGGACUAAAGAAUAAGUCGAUUGCAGUAAAGGCGCCUUGCUUUGAACCUGCAAAAGACAUUUCGAGCCAAAAGCAAUCGUAUUCAAACACCAAAUUCAAGUUUGAAUCGAUAUCUAAAAGAACCGAAAGUGCUCAGGCGUUAAGCCUGUUAAGGUUUAUCGGUUACAAUUUCACUCAGCAUACCGAGGCAAAUUUAAAGCGUUGAGCCAGAAGAAGUUUUUUUUACCCCUCCUGUGGAGGGCUGGAAGGUGCAACGAAUUCAUCAAGGUCAAUUCCGUCGGCGAUCCGAGUGGCAGCCGCAAGGAAAGUUUCCAUAAAGGACCUGAAGUCGUGUUUCUUGGUGUUGGCCACCCAAAGGGCCGCCAGCUUCUCUUCUCGCGCAUCUUUACAGUGGACUCGGGCCAGACACAGAGCAACAUCUGCACCACACCGAGCCGAGGACUUCUUCCAUUCCUGCACUCGACCAGGGAUCGUGUUCAAGCGGGCCAUCAGCGACUCAAGGUCAUUCUGAAGUGUCUUCUCAGGCCAGAGCGUCGAGUCGAUGCGAGAUGUGGCGGCCUUCAGCCUUGCGAGAUAGUCCACGACAGCUGCAACACGAGACUCCAGUCGGAAAACAUCCAUGGCAACUUCGUCGUUCACCGGAGAAUUGACGGGGUCGAGGUUUGGCUCCAGCCGGCUAGUUUCUUCUUCAAAGUUUUGACAAAAUUCUGCAAGGAUCAUCACUAAGUCAAGGGGAUGGUCGAAUGGAAAAACCACAAUUGGAAAUGUUUGCCGAGCAUAGAGGUUUACCUUCAAGCAUAAGAAACAGCUUCUUGGCAAGACCACUCAGGAAGGCCUCCAGAUCAUUUUUCUUCCCAGUCAACUUACUGACUUGGUCGGUCAGGGCAGCUUUAUCAGUUUUUAGUCGACUGACCUCCUUGUUGGCGAUCCCAAGAGCAGCUUUCAGAUUGGUAUUGUCUUGUUCAAGCUUGGUGACUGAAGCUAACUUCUCGUCAGCAAGCUUGAUCUUCUCAGCUAGUUCGAGGUCUUUCUUCUGUUGGGCCUCCCUUACCUUACCUGCAAGUUACAGCAAGAUCAGAUUUUAAAACAAGCAAGGGGAAAAGCAGUCGUCAGGGUCUCACCAAACAUACCUUCGGUCUCCUCCUUUGCCUUCGUCAGCUUCUCCUGAACCAGCUUCAAGCUCAGCUCGAGUUGAGUGUGCUUGUUUUCCAGCUCAGAGUAGCGAGCCACAAGAUCACAGGAGUUCUGCGAAGAACCAAUCGACUAAAUGUCAAAUAUAAUUCACUUCCGAGUGAAAAAGGAAAAAUCACACGUUUCUAAGACUACAGCCGAAUACAAGCAUUCGACCAUAGUCUCGGGGACUACACCCAGUGGGUGCACUCAGCGUGCCCCCACUAAUCCUGUUGAAGACAAAGUCGACCAGUCGACCUCAAAAAAAAAGAAAAAAAAAGAGAGAGAUGUAUUCUUUAAGACUGUAAUCAACUGCAAGCAGUCGACCACAGUCUCGGGGACUACACCCAGUGGGUGCACUUAGCGUGCCCCCACCGGUUUGUGAAAUCCAGUCGACAUAGUCGACUAACAGAAAGAUUGACAUCAUAAAGCCUAAGGCCGACUGCCAGCAGUCGGCCUUAGCCUUGGGGACUACACCCAGCGGGUGCACUCAGCGUGCCCCCGCUAACACGGAGUUUAAUCGACACACCCAGUGGGUGACUACUAUAAAUUCUGGAAAGGAAAAGUUUUUGGUAGCAUAUCCAACAGAACAAACGGUGGUUGACUGACCUGAACAUUGCUUUGGAGGGCAGAACUGGCGUCAUAAGCUGCCUGGCUCGCAUCCCGGAUGGUCUUCAACUGCUCCAUCAUGAUUCCCGCCUGGCGUAUUGCCUCCUUCGCCGCGCCAGCUUGGUCCUCUGGGACGUGGUGCGUCGUGAAGAGGGAGGGCUGCUGAGCACUCAUCAAUGGAUCUGCGAAGGACACCGUGUGUCGAGUGGUGUUCUCUUCCUCCGCAAUCAGAAUCUCAGGCGCCGUCACAUCCUGGGGCACCUUGCUGGCAGACGCUUUCCUACUCCUUCUGCGCUUCAGCGGUUUCUCAUCCUCAUCAUCAUCAGGGAGAUUGAUAACAACGUUGGGUGGAGCUUCGGAGAAGAAUCAGGAUCAGAGAUCGCGAGUCAGUCGACUAAAAACGGCGUUAAGAAUAUAGUACCUGGUUUUGAAGUUGCUGCAUCCUCCAUCUCAUGGUCAUCAGCCCGGGCUGAGGUCUCAGAAGUAGCAGCACUGCAACUCCAAAGAAUCAGUCGACUAACUUCAGCGUCAACCAGGGACAAAGUUCACACAAAAUAAGAAGACUUAAGCAGCACGAUUACCCUGAUAUGGUGGGGAUGGACACCUUCAUCUUUGGCAGGAGCUUGAUCAGCUUCGACGAGGCCGCCCUGGGUUGCUUCGGCGCCUUUUCAGUCGGCACUGGAGAGGUGGUCCGAGGGCGUUUGGUCGACUGAGCGGCGGUCGCAACCCCCUUACCACGUUCAGUCGAAGGGUCGUGGACAAGUUUCGACCGCCUUUCCGAGCGCGGUGGUACGACCUCCUCCUCCUCUUCUUCCUCGUCUUCAACGUCAUCUUCAUCACCGUCAUCAUCGUCAUCAUCAUCAUCAUCCUCUGCAACGUCCGAGUCCCAUUCCUCCUCUUCCUGGCUCUCGCCCCCACUCGCCUCACCCUCCUCAGUCGGAGCUUGUGCCCCAUUGGGCAUCGAGUACAGCUCGGUGAGGGCCUAGCAGAUAUCAAGACAAGGAUCAAUCGACCAGUCGGCAGGAUAAACAGAAAUGAAUGUGACAAGAACACAGUGGAGAGCAGAGCAAGCGUACCUUGUUUGGAUCGCUGUUGUGGUCGAGUGGAGGAAUCCUUCUGGCUCCGCAUGGGUUAUCCUUGUUUCCGGUAACGGCUACCAUCCAUCUUUCCAGAGUGACAUCGUCGACAGCUUCUGGAUGGACUCGAGUCUCGUCUUCAGUCCCACAGUACAACCACAUGCAGUGACUCCGGAACUGAAGGGGCUGGAUGCGACGCCUAAGGAAGACCUCCAGGAGAUCCAUGCCCGUCACUCCCUCCCGAACCAACUGCACCACGUGCUCCAUCAACAUCUUCACGUCAGCUUUCUCCUCCGGAAUCAACUUCAGAGAGGAGGGCUUGUUCACUCGGUCCAUGGUAAACUGAGGGAGUCCACUCGACUGCCCCGGCGUCGACUGGUCCUGGCAGUAGAACCAGGUCGACUGCCAGCCUCUGACUGACUCGGGAAAGGUCAUGGGCGGGAAGGUGCCCUUGUUCCUCACCUGGAUCCCUAGACCCCCACACAUUUGGACGACUCGGGUUCUUUCAUCGCCUGGGCUCGCCUUCUUCACGGUCUGAGAGCGACACGUGAAUAUAUGCUUGAACAAACCCCAGUGCGGUCGACAGCCCAGGAAACCCUCACACAUGGACACGAACGCGGCAAGAUAGGCGAUAGAAUUUGGGGUAAAGUGGUGGAGCUGCGCUCCAAAGAAGUUCAAGAAGCCACGGAAGAAAAUACUCGGCGGCAAAGAAAAUCCACGAUCAACAUUGGUGGCCAAGAGCACACACUCACCCUCUUCUGGCUGGGGCUGCCAUUCCUUCCCCGGAAGCCUCGCAGCUCCAUGAGGGAUCAAGCCCUCAUUGGCCAUGUCGAGGAGAUCUUUUUCUGUGAUGGUCGACUGGAUCCAGUCUCCUUGGACCCAGCCCUUCGGCAGGCGGGAUCUGGACGAAGACCCGCCGCGGCUGGUAGAUCUCCCCUUCGCCUUCUCCGACGCCGACGCCUUCUUCGCACGUUCCAGUGCCACCGUCUUCUCCUUGGCCAUGGUUGCCAGCGAGAUGCGCGAGGGGAAGUUGUGCGGGGGCAAGAGCGAGCGCGCUGGACGGAGACGAAGGGAGCAGAGAGAGAGAGAAUGCUGAGGCACAGUACAAAAAUCCUCGCCGGGCGCAUUUAUAAGGUCCCUUCCGAGUGGAUGACAGGUGGGCCCGGUCGAUCUAAUCAUAUCCAGGAACAGUUAUGCAGACGGGAUACGUGGCGAAGAAAGCGGCGCGGAGAUCGAGGCGUCUAUGUCCCAUCCCAUCUGAACGCCGCGGUCCGCUCCGCUUCGCGCGCGUCCCCAAAUUUCGCAUCCCGCAGAAUCCGCGAACAGCAGAUCAGUCUGUCAGACGCGGGGUUUCCCGCGAUCCGUCGCUCGGGGAUCGUCGAAGUCCGAAAGAUCACUCGACGAAAGAAGAGAAUUGAUCGAGUCGACUGAAGACAAGUUGCUCACUAUCGACGAAGAGAUUCUUUGGUCCAGAACAACGCACAACCAGAGCGCAAAGGUUAAUCGGAAACGACAUCAACUCCUUCCUCACUCGAAGCCUCAAUCCAUUCGGGGGCUAAUGAUGGGGUCACAUACCUAGGGUAGGGUCAUGGACCUGAUCUAAGUACCUUACCCAAGGACACCCUUAGAAGAGGUCGCCUUCCAGUCGACCAACGAGGGACUCACUCGACUGACUUGAAGGACUCGACCACGAAGACUCACUCGACCACCAGAAGGUCAAGAGGCACUCUACACUGCAACGGCCUGUAAUUAAGUAGACUUUAUGGUAGUAAAGACACUUUAUGUGGGGCGUUAUCAGUAACGCCCCGGACUUAACUCACCUUAAACCCUCUCUUAUGUGGGCUAACUGGGGUCCCGGCGCACUCUAUAUAAGCCGCCCCCCUCCACAGGUAGAGGGGUUCGGCACCUUGUAACUCAUAUACUCAUAAUCCACUCGACCGCCUCCGGGCUCCGAGACGUAGGGCUAUUACUUCUUCCGAGAGGGGCCUGAACUCGUACAUCCCUUGUGUUUACAACCUCUCCAUAGCUAGGACCUUGCCUCUCCAUCCCUUGUGUUGUGCGGUGUUGUAAUCUGAGUUUACUUUGUUCAUCGGGAUGGGCUCUGAGUUACAGUUAUUAUCAUGUACCGUGGACUGAAUAUUGAGUAGUAAAUUGCCAUGUACCGUGCACUGAUUAUUGAGAAGCUAUGACACUGUUGACUUUGAAAUGCGCAGAUGAUCCGCUACAAACUACUACUACAUCCGUCCUGCUUUACUAGGGUUCUUAUCUGAACAUAAUUUUCAAUGAUAUUAUUUUUGCUACUUAUAACGUUAUUUUAUUAGUUAAAAUCAUAGUCAAAAUAUAACCCAAAAUAUGAAGGUGGAGGUAGUACGGUAGGAAGAAGUCUGGACUCUAGAUGAUCUAAUACCGAUUAUACAUGGUCUCUCCAACAACAUUACUCCUAUAAAGAAUGACAAAGUACUUGCCUCUUGGGGGCAUCCUCGCUUGCGAGUGCCCCUCCACGCCAUUUGAUCUGUGCGCAUUGAUGCCGGUCUAGCGCCCUCCCCGCUGCGCGAUCAGGUUAUUCUUUGCCUCACCUUCCCGCCGAUUUUAGGGGCCCAUGGGCCACGGGUGCACUCGGGGUCACAUUUUUGUGGCAUAUUAUGUCUUUCCAUUGCUUAUGCAUUUUCUAGGUUGGGUAAGAGCGAGUGCCGUUUUAUCCUAAGGAUGACUCGGAGGUGGAUGACUGGAGGCGGCUGCUUGGCAUGAGUUGAGUCAUUUGUUUAUCCCCAUCCAGGUGCGGGGUGUACCUGGCUCGAUUUGUGGUGUCUCAAUGUUUCAUGGACGCAUGCCACUGAGACUGCCCCUUGAAGGGAUGGCGGGGAGGGUGCUCGGUUUGCGCUAAUCGGAGUCCUGGGCUCGGCCAUUGCUCGGCGUUUAUCGGACCCGAUNNNNNNNNNNNNNNNNNNNNNNNNNNNNNNNNNNNNNNNNNNNNNNNNNNNNNNNNNNNNNNNNNNNNNNNNNNNNNNNNNNNNNNNNNNNNNNNNNNNGGGGGGGGUCCUUGAUGGGAUUGUUGGGGAGGUUAUUCGGCUUGUGCUAGUCGGGGUUCGGCGGGACGUGCCUCGUGGGCGGAUCUUUUCUGUUGCAUUGCCCAGCCAGUGGGUGCAUUAUGUGUUGCGUUGAUACAGUGUUUGUCUAUGUUGUUUGUACAUCGCUUUUGGAUGUUCUUUCUCUAGUACUGGCGCUGUGUCCACGUAUUUCAGCAUGUGAGGUGAGUUUAAUGGUCUUGGUUGCCUCUAUGGUCUCGUUGCUCAUGCGUUUUUUUUGUUUCCUUUACAUUUGCUGCUUUAUGCUGCACGAUCAGAUGCCAUGAUUUUUGGAUUAUGCUCAGUACUUUUGACUUUUGGAUUAUGUCUGUUUUUUUCUAGGUUUUCUUCAAGAAUUUUUUUAGGUGUCUUUUCAUAGCGUGAAGCACAACUGUACUUUCCUAAAAGAGAAGAAAACACAAUUGUGCUUCUCAAAAAAGAAAAGAACAUAUGUGCCUCCAUAAGAAGCACAUUUGUGCUGCCUGACUGUGCUUCCCCUUCCGUGAGAAGCAGAGUUGUUCUUCCCAAAAACGUGAAAAGAACAAGUGCUCUACAUGGUGAAGCACUACUCAUGGACAUAUUUUCAGAUUGACGAACAUUUUUNNNNNNNNNNNNNNNNNNNNNNNNNNNNNNNNNNNNNNNNNNNNNNNNNNNNNNNNNNNNNNNNNNNNNNNNNNNNNNNNNNNNNNNNNNNNNNNNNNNNNNNNNNNNNNNNNNNNNNNNNNNNNNNNNNNNNNNNNNNNNNNNAAUUUUUAGUCCUUUAUUUUUUUAUUUCGUACUCCCUCCGUCCGAAAAAACUUGUCCCAAACUCGUCCAUUUGAGGAACAAGCUUUUUCGGAAGGAGAGAGUAAAACAUAUUUUCAAAUUAAGGAACCAUUUUUGAAUUGAUGAAAUUUUCAAACUCACAUUUUUUUACAUUUAUGAUCUUCCCGAUUCAGAAUAUUUUUUCAAAUUCAUGAACAUUUUUACAAUUCAUGAAUAAUUUAAUUGGAUACUUUUUUCCCAAAAUUGUAGAACAUUUUUUGAAUUCAUGAAUAUUUUUUCAAAUUCUUAAUUUUUUGAAUUAACGAGCAUUUUGAAACUCACGGACUGUUUUUGAGUUUGCGAGCUUUUUUCUCAUUAAUGAACAAUUUCUUAAAUUGCCACACAUUUUUUAAAUUCGUGAACAUUUUUAUUUCAUAAAUAAUUCUAAAUUCAUGAACAUUUAUCAAUUUAAAAUGGGGAAAACUCGACAUAAAAAGUUGAAAAAAUUUGGAACUUUUUUAUAUUUAAAACUAAUGAAUUAAUAUACAAGUUAGAAAUGAACAAUAGGAAAAGAAAACAGCAAACCGUGCUAGUGAUCGGACGUGCCGAUGGCGCCUUCAGCAUUGUAGCAGUUUUACAUGUCCGUACAAAGUCUCUUCACAAUCCUUCUGUCACUGCAGCACCGGCGCCUUCACCAUCCACUGGCGGCGCGAUCGCUUCACCACCGAAGGUGAAUGUGGCGGCGGGGUCCGCCGACGGCUCCGCAACCAUUCUCCUGGCAACCGUGGCGACUUCGCUUCUCGCCUUCUAUAACCUCUGACGGCCGACAUCUCAGCCUCUCUCACGUGUUAUGUUGCACACACCUUGUGACUGUGUUGAGCGGUGUUGUAAUAUGAGUUUACUCUGUUCAUCGGGACGGCCUCUCAGUUACUGUUAGUAUGAUGUACCGUGGACUGAAUAUUCAGUACGUAGUAAAUUGCCAUGUACCGUGCACUGAAUAUUGAGAAGUCGUUGCUAGUUAUGACAGUUUGUUGACUUUGGAAUGUGUAGAUGACUUUGUUGACUUUGAAAUGUGCAAAUGAUCCGCUACGAACUUUUUUGGGUUACGAACAUGUUGUUCAUGAACUUUUUUGAAUUCAUGUACACUUUUUAGACUAGCCACAAUGAUGAGUAACAUACAUUAGUAACAUACACAUAUCCCUAGACUAUAUUACUACCUUCAUAAUGGAUAGUAACAUAAUGAUGCUAACAUGCAAAACUUCAUUUAUUAGGUUAUAGACUCAUAUUGCAUUGAAGAUAAGCAAUUUUGCUCAGUUGGACUCAAUAUUACAGUAACUAGCUAAUUUACUAUAACUACCUCUCUCCUCAUUAAAUCAUUGCCACAUAAGCAAUUUUGCUGAGUUGGACUCGAUGUUACUACUGAAGUUACUCCCACUGUGGCUAGUCUUAGUCCAUUAACUUUUUUGAAUUUCGUAAAUAUAUUUUCGAAUGAAUGAACAUUUUUUGAAUUGAUGAAAAUUUUCAAACUCACACACAUUUUUUGAAUUUAUGAUUUUUUUCCGAGUCAAAGUGGUCAGACCUUUUCCCGGACCCUGUGCAAGCGGGAGCUACAUACACCGGGCUGCCCUUUCAAAUUCACAAAUAUUUUUACAAUUCAUGAACAUUUUGACUGGACAAUUUUUUUCCGAAAUUCAUGAACAUUUUUUGAAUUCACGGAUAUUUUUUGAAUUCAUGAAUAUUUUUCAAGUCCUUCAUUUUUGGAAUUGACGAGUAUUGUGAAACCCACAAACAUUUUUUGGGUUUGCAAACUUUUUUCUGAUUCAUGAACAUUUUUUAUAAUUGCCAAACAUUUUUUAAUCCAUUUAGUUUUUUCUAAUUUCAUAAAUAAUUCUAAAUUCAUGAACAUUUAUCAAUCUAAAAUAUAAAAAAUGUGACAUAAGUUGGAAAAUUGUGUAGUUAUUUUUUAUGUAUAACUAAUGAAUUAGUCCCUCGGUUCCUAAAUAUUUGUCUUCCUAGAGAUUUCAACAAGUGACUACAUACGAAGCAAAAUGAGUGAAUCUACAUUCUAAAAUAUGUCUAUAUACAUCCAUAUAUGAUAGUCCAUUUGAAAUCUCUACAAAAACAAAUAUUUAGGAACAAAUGGAGUGAAAUACAAGUUCAAAAACAAACAAUAGAAGAAAAACAGAAAACCGUGUUAGCGACCGGACAUGCAAAUGUGCCGGCCCAGCCCAGGAGGGCGUGACGCUCUCACCUAGCAAUGUGAAUUGUCAUAACUAGCAAUGCGAGACAUGGAGCUAUCAUUACUGAAAUAAAUCAUAGGGCUUUCAAUUUUACCUGUAAUUUUACUUUUGAAAGUACAACGGCGGACCAUGAUGCCGAUAGACUAACCAAAUUUGCUCACUCUUUGGAUCAGGGGAGGCACAUGUGGAUGUCGAUCCCGCACAAUCCGUUUUGUAUGCCACAACUCGUGGAUUUUGAGUGAAUAGAAACUUGGUUGAACCCUAAAAAAAGCCUAGCGAUGCGAAUUGCUAAAAAAAAGUUGCUAAAUAAAUAAAAAAAUGCUAAAGAAAAAACCCUAGCGAUGCGAGUCUCCUAAAAGAAAAACAAAAAACAAAAAACCCUAGCGAUGCGAGCGUGCUGGUCGCGUGAAGCGUUACACAGCACCUCCCGAUCCCAUCACCAAUCUCUACCCUGCCCCGGUGCUAUCUCCAGUACAACUCCGCCGCCCUCCCCGUGGAUCUGCUGCUUCAUAUUCGCCCGGCUUGACCAAAAGGCAACCCGAUGAGUUGACAGACCAUAGGCCGAUGAGUUGAAUUCUACUCUAAUUCUACUCAGGAAAUCUGCUUCCAUUAAUCCAUCGGCAGCGGGGACAAGGUGAUUCAACCUGGAGCGAUGGGCGUCCGGCGGUUUCUGAAUCUGUUCGCGGCGAACCGCCCGGGCUGCAUGUAUUCGCUGCGCCGCUUCGAUCUGUCGCGCAACCAGUUCUUCUACACGACACCGGAAGAAGUAGCUCUGCAUGGGCGAGUCCUGCCACGGAUACAAAGAGAUUCUGCAUCAUAUUUAUCCCUGAAAAAGGCCUGCGGCAGGGUCAAGAAGCAGCAAGCCUCGGAGAUCGGGACGAUCCGGUUGCCGGCACGACUCUUCAACACGCGGCCGGCGCCAUACCCGAAGCCUAAGUGCGACGAGCUCAGAAUGGACGCGUUCGCUCUCUCGGAGCGCAGCAUCGUGUUCGCGGAUCGCCAGAGGCACGUCUUCACCUACGAGACCGACUCGGACUGCCUCGUCACCAUGCCGGGCCUCCACGCUCCCAAGGAUGAUCCGUUGGCCCUCUCUGUUCCACGGCCCGGAGGCGGGGAAGGCAGCCUCUACGUGAUCGAGAGGCUGCUCCGUCCCGGGAAGAGCUUCCAGUUCGAGGCCCUUGUCUCCCGCCAGCACUACAAUGAGUACCAUCCCUGCCGGACAUGGCAAUGUGAGGAGCUCCCGCUGCCGCCCCUGGAAGAAGAUUAGAAGAAGUAUACCUCGGCACUGUCGCGGUGGUGGGCAACGUCAUCUGCAGAUCACUUUGGCACCUACUGCUUUGACACGGUGUCGGUGAGCCAGUCCUGGAGCCGCGCCGGUGACUGGGUGCUGCCCUUCUUUGGCACCGCCGAGUAUGUCCCCGAGCUCAACCUCUGGUUUGGCAUCUCUGAUCAAGACUACCACUUGCCUUGCGCGGCCGAUCUCUCACCCGUCCUCACAGGGCAGCGGCCGGAGCCGGGCUUGAUCUGGGCGGACAAUUACCUGCCGGAGGAGUGCCAUCAUAGUGGCAUCAUAGCGGCCAAAAUGGUCAGCCUGGGUUCUGGCAGGUUUUGCAUCAUCAGGUUCCUUGAAACUUGGUUACCCAGCCUCGAUACUGAGCAGGUAUUUGUGGACAAACAGUGCGCUAUCUUCACUAGUACUCCCUUCGUCCGAAAAUACUUGUCAUCAAAAUGAAUAAAAAAGGAUGUAUCUAGAACUAAUAUACAUCUAGAUACAUCCCCUUUUAUUCAUUUUGAUGACAAGUAUUUCCGGACAGAGGGAGUAUUUGGCAAAAAACUACCACAUUAGGGGUUAUCGUCUCACAGAACUACCACAUUCAAAAAAGUGACUGAUAACUAACAAUUUUUUUUUAAGUUUUGACUAAAAACUACCACUUUUGAAAAAUGACCGGUUUAGACGAUUUAAACACGUUUAUGACAUGCGGGACCCACUCGUCAGGAGGUGACGUGGCGGCACGGUCAACCUUGUUUAUUUUGACCGUUAAGUUGAGCGUUAUGACAAGUGGGGCCCACAUGGUAUUCUUCUUCCUCCUCUCUAUAUCUUCCUUUGGCAUUUUACCAAACACCUCUGUGCAUGGGAGGGAAGCGGGUCAACUCCGGUGACGCGCCCGCCGUGAAAACGCCCCCGUCGCUCCUGACCGAGGAAGAUGGUCCAGAGGACGCCCCAUCCUCGCGCGCCCACACCCCAUCCUCGCGCGCCCAGGACGACAGCGAGGUGCGCGCCUCACCUGCCCGAGGUGCUUCGCCAAGGUGCUCGCACGUGCUGCAGAAGCUGCUCGUCGUGGUGCUUGCGCACUGUGGCCGAGCCUCGUGGAGGGCGGGAGCCUCAAUGUCUCGUUCCAACGGAAGGGGAGGAGGGUGUUGCGGAGCUCUGGCUCACCCGCGAUCGUCGCAGGAGGCGAGAGGAGGCUGGAGUUGUGCUGCUGCUUGCAGCCGCUGCUACUGCUCCUAUGCUGGAGGAUGUUGCGGUGGUCUUUUUGGAGGUGGCAACGAAGGACACGGCUUCGACGGUCGAAACACGGCAGUGGCCACGGCCUUGGCGAGCACCCCGGACACCUCGACCUCCGCCGCGCUGUUGGACGCGGAGGGCAUGGGGAACUUGACCGUGGUGUGCACAGAGGCGGAGAGGUGGGCCAGGUCCUUCUCGGCGUGACGCAGGGACCGAACCGCGAAUGCGAGCCUGUUGCCGUCUCGGCGCCGGAGUGCGACCUGCGGCUCGGCGGGCGAGGCACAGGCGGUAAAGUCGAGCGAGCAAAUGGUCUAACAAUGAGCGGCAUCAAACCCAGAUUAGUGUGGUCCCUCAAGGAAUCUAACACGCACUGGGUAGAGGAGCUCGACUCCGUACUCUGGGGGCUGCGGACCACUCUGAAUCGCACAACCGGAUUCACACCAUUCUUUAUGGUAUACGGCGCAGAGGCAGUUCUGCCCUGCGACAUAAUUCAUGACUCACCUCGCGUGCGCAUGUACGAAGAAAGAGAAGCGAACUCGAUCGGCAGGACAGCUUGGACGCCUUGGAAGAGCGUGGCGUGGCAAAAGCCCGUUCAACAUUCUAUCAACAGCAGACUCGAAGAUAUCAAAGCAGAGAAGUACGGGCCAAAACUUACAAUGUUGGCGAAUUAGUUCUACGCCUGCCGGACAAGAAAAAGGACAAACUCAAACCCAAAUGGGAAGGUCCCUUCAUAAUUAACCAAGUCCUGACUGAUGGAGCGUACCGUCUGCGAGAUGCAUCGGAUAACCGACUCGAGCCGAACCCAUGGAACGCAGCCCGUCUCCGAAGAUUCUACGCCUAGCGCCGGACUCUGUGUUCGUCUCCUUCCUCUGUCUAUUUAUUAUACAUUAGUUGUCUUAUAUUUCUCUACUUCUCCCUCCUUUUCUCUUACAGCCUUUAAGGGCUCGUUCGCGCCUUGUUCGCACACAAUUGACGCGCUAUCCACGCUCAUCAUACCUGGGGGCUUCUUUAACAGAAGCUGGUUUAUACGGGCCUCAUGCCCAACAUAUGUGUCACACUUCCGCAUGUACCUUUUAUUCACCACUAUAUGCAUCGAUAUGACUUAAGUUUUGGCCAAGCUGGGUUGCCUGGCUCCUGUGCUUAUCCCUACGUUCUCGAUUGUUCGGCUAGGCGGUAAAGGGAGCACCUCUGCGAUUGUUACUGCCGGGUCAGCCGGAUGUGUACCUCAGACUGGGUGGAGCCGAAAGCUAGCGUUCUUAAGGGAAUAUUCGGUCGGUGAACUAAAGAUGAUUUCUCACUCGUUUAUUUAUCCGCCCCCAGAUGCUUUUCUGCUUUUUUCGCAGUCCGGACAUGCACUUUAGGGCAUGCCUCCCAGGGAAAGGAACCCCUAACGGAACUAUUCUCCCUGGAAGAUGUUUCUUACUAACCAUGUAAUAUAACAUAACUAGUUGGACACUUGUCUGUUCAAGCACUAAUGGCCCCUACGCCUGGUCUACACGCAUGUCCCGGUUCUUACAUAACCGAGAGGGUAUUCGGACACACUCCGGACUAUCAGGUCCAGAGGUUGAAGUGAAAAGGUCCGCCAUGACAAACGAUCUACAAUCCGGCUAGAAGGCAUUUUAUAUUUCAUCUUAAAUUACAUAGUCAAUUUGACUGGGUAUACUCCUCUUCAAUACCAUCCAACAGGCUGUCUAGUUUACAGUCCUGUUGGGAAUAUUUGGCGGCCAACUUUACCUGGCCGUACACUAAACUCACAGGGAUGUCCUUCCCAUUAGGCCCCACAGGUUCGACCUCGGCCAUGUGGUUUGGGUCGGCCUUCGUGUACCGCGUCUUCACCAUGGCCCAGGCCUCCCUGGCGCCUUGACGGCAGACCGAUAUCUUCCAUAAUCAGAAGCGCCGCCGCGCUCCCUUUAGCUUCUCUGCAAGCUCUCCAAGGCCUUCAGGCAUGGAGACGGAUGGCCACAAGGCCUAGACCACGCCUCGCAUUACCUGCCGAACUCGUUCAUGCAGUUGUAAGAGCUCGGGAAGAAGGUCAUCCGUAGAACCGGGCAUUUCCUCGGCAGGCCGACCUGUCAGCAUACCUACAGACAUAACUCUGUCAAUCGACUUCCUCACCGAACUCUUUUUCGAAGUUCAUUCAAGCACUACUAAAAAUGCCGCGUCGAAGCCGCUGAUUCUCCUUCACGGAGUCCGACAGCUGAGCACGAACAUCCUUUAGUUCCUCGCCCAGCUGGGUGUUGUCAUCUUGGAGCUUAUUCUUCUCUUGCCUCACCCUCGUAAGCACGCUCUCGCCGGCCUUUAACCGGCGCAAGAGUUGUUGCUUGUCCGGAUCCACUCCGGUGCCAUCUGCAAUAUUAUUGUCAGAUUUGCACACAUGCCGCCCUGCACAACAUACUUAUCUUUCGAAGCAUAUAUUACCAGAGGGGGUCUCCUUGGUCUCCCCCGUCGCGGCUAGUGCGGCCUCAAGUUGGGCUUUGCACUCUUCCAGCUCCUGGGACAGUUGGGUAUUCUUUUCUGUAAGAUCCUGCAUAACAAAUGAUCCUUAAAUCAGUUAUUCUAACUGUUUUAAGUCUCGGGGGCUACUGACAUAUAUAACCAUCAAAUUUUCUCACCCGUAUGUCUUUUACAUACUGCUCUGUGGCUUUGGCUAGACCAUUUUGAGCGGCACAGAGGUACGCAUCUCCCGUGUUAAAGGCAUCCAAUGCCUCCUGGGAGAAACAAGCAUCACGAAGAACAGUCCGGCGACGCCUGUGGUUCAUGGCACUCUCCACCUCAGAAUUGGUGGCAGACAGCCCGUCCGCAUCCUCUGUCGGAGGAGCGCCCGGUGCGCGCCUCGUGUUCGCCUCCGCUUCCGGACCCGACCUUGGAGCCUGGCCGGUGGAGGCGCGAUUGGAAACCUCUUCGGAUAUAGUCCGGCGAGCGCUCUUUUUCCUGAAGAGAGCACGAGCGUUAGUAUACCUUGAGGGAAUAAAACCUGGGAAUAAAAUCGCGCGCCAUACUGCUGCGCCGGCGUCUCAAUCCGGACCGCACUUCUUUUCAGCCUGCCGGGCCUUGAUGCCCCUUGUUGGCUAGCCAGCGUAGGCUCGGCCCUCCGCCUCAAGGACUUCCCCUGCAAAAACGCCAUUGGUAUACGGUGGUCAAAAAUAAGCACGGGUGGUGUCGGUGUCAAAACCGGCGGAUCUCGGGUAGGGGGUCCCGAACUGUGCGUCUAGGCGGAUGGUAACAGGAGACAUGGGACACGAUGUUUUACCCAGGUUCGGGCCCUCUUGAUGGAGGUAAAACCCUACGUCCUGCUUGAUUGAUAUUGAUAUUGUGGAUGUUUACAAGAGUGGAUCUACCACGAGAUCAUGGAGGCUAAACCCUAGAAGCUAGCCUAUGGUAUGAUUGUAAUGGUUGUUGUUGUUGUUGUCCUACGGACUAGAGCCAUCCGGUUUAUAUAGACACCGGAGAGGGCUAGGGUUACAUAGAGUCGGUUACAAUGGUAGGAGAUCUACGUAUCCGUAUCGCCAAGCUUGCCUUCCACACCAAGGAAAGUCCCAUCCGGACACGGGAUGAAGUCUUCAAUCUUGUAUCUUCAUAGUCUUGGAGUCUGGUCGAUGAUGAUAGUCUGGCCGAUGAUAGUUCGGCUGAUGAUGGUAGUCCUGUUGGGGAACGUUGUAGAAAAUUAAAAUUUUUCCUACGGUUUCACCAAGAUCCAUCUAUGAGUUCAUCUAAGCAACGAGUCUAGGGAGAGAGUUUGCAUCUACAUACCACUUGUAGAUCGCGUGCGGAAGCUUGCAAGGUGAUGAUGUAGUCGUACUCGACGUGAUCCAAAUCACCGAUGACCUGCGCCGAACGGACGACACCUCCGCGUUCAACACACGUACGGAACAGCCACGUCUCCUCUUCUUGAUCCAGCAAGGGAGGGAGGAGAGGUUGAGGGAGAUGGCACCAGCAGCAGCACGACGGCGUGGUGUUGAUGGAGCUGCAGUACUCCGGCAGAGCUUCGCUAAGCACUAUGGAGGUGGAGGAGGUGUUGGGGAGGGAGAAGGAGGCAACCAAAGGCCAGGGCGUUCAGGUAUGAAGUCCCUCCUCUCCCCCACUAUAUAUAGGGGUGCCAAGGGGGGGUGGCCGGCCCUAGGAGAUCCAAUCUCCUAGGGGGUGCGGCGGCCAAGGGGGGUUUUCCCUCCCCCCAAUGCACCUAGGAGGUGCCUUACCCUCCUAGGACUCUUGCCCCCUUGAACCCUAGGCGCAUGGGCCUAUGUGGGGCUGGUGCCCUUGGCCCAUUAGGCCAAGGCGCACCCCCUUACAGCCCAUGUGCCCCCCCGUGGCAGGUGGACCCACCCGGUGGACCCCCGGGACCCUUCCGGUGGUCCCGGUACAAUACCGAUAACCCCGAAACUUUUCCCGAUGCCCGAAACAGGACUUCCCAUAUAUAAAUCUUUACCUCCGGACCAUUCCGGAACUCCUCGUGACGUCCGGGAUCUCAUCCGGGACUCCGAACAACAUUCGGGUUACUGCAUAUACAUAUCCCUACAACCCUAGCGUAACCGAACCUUAAGUGUGUAGACCCUACGGGUUCGGGAGACAUGCAGACAUGACCGAGACUCUCUCAGUUAAUAACCAUCAGUGGGAUCUGGAUACCCAUGAUGGCUCCCACAUGCUCCUCGAUGUUGUCAUCGGAUGAACCACUAUGUCGAGGAUUCGAUCAAACCCUGUAUGCAAUUCCCUUUGUCAAUCGGUACGUUACUUGCCCGAGACUCGAUCGUCGGUAUCCCAAUACCUUGUUCAGUCUCGUUACCGGCAAGUCACUUUACUCGUACCGUAAUGCAUGAUCCCGUGUCCAACUCCUUGGUCACUUUGAGCUCAAUAUGAUGAUGCAUUACCGAGUGGGCCCAGAGAUACCUCUCCGUCAUACGGAGUGACAAAUCCUAGUCUCGAUCCGUGUCAACCCAACAGCUACUUUCGGAGAUACCUGUAAUGCACCUUUGUAGUCACCCAGUUACGUUGUGACGUUUGAUGCACCCAAGGCACUCUUACGGUAGCCGGGAGUUACACGAUCUCAUGGUUGUAGGAAGAGAUACUUGACACUUGCAAAGCUCUAGCAAAACGAACUACACGAUCUUUUAUGCUAUGCUUAGGAUUGGGUCUUGUCCAUCACAUCAUUCUCCUAAUGAUGUGAUCCCGUUAUCAACGACAUCCAAUGUCCAUAGUCAGGAAACCAUGACUAUCUGUUGAUCACAACGAGCUGGUCAACUAGAGGCUUACCAGGGACAUAGUGUGGUCUAAGUAUUCAGACGUGUAUUACGAUUUCCGGAUAAUACAGUUAUAGCAUGAAUAAAAGACAAUUAUCAUGAACAUUGAAAUAUAAUAAUACUUUUAUUAUUGCCUCUAGGGCAUAUUUCCAACAGUCUCCCACUUGCACUAGAGUCACCAAUCUAGUUACAUUGUGAUGAAUCGAACACCCAUAGAGUUCUGGUGUUGAUCAUGUUUUGCACGCGAGAGAGGUUUAGUCAGCGGAUCUGCGACAUUCAGAUCCGUAUGCACUUUGCAAAUCUCUAUGUCUCCAUCUUGAACAUUUUCACGGAUGGAGUUGAAACGACGCUUGAUGUGCCUGGUCUUCUUGUGAAACCUGGGCUCCUUUGCGAGGGCAAUAGCUCCAGUGUUGUCACAGAAGAGUUUGAUCGGCCCCGACGCAUUGGGUAUGACUCCUAAGUCGGUGAUGAACUCCUUCACCCAAAUUGCUUCAUGUGCUGCCUCCGAGGCUGCCAUGUACUCCGCUUCACACGUAGAUCCCGCCACGACGCUCUGCUUGCAGCUGCACCAGCUUACUGCUCCACCAUUCAACAUAUACACGUAUCCGGUUUGUGACUUAGAGUCAUCCAGAUCUGAGUCGAAGCUAGCGUCGACGUAACCCUUUACGACGAGCUCUUCGUCUCCUCCAUAAACGAGAAACAUGUCCUUUGUCCUUUUCAGGUACUUCAGGAUAUUCUUGACCGCUAUCCAGUGUUCCUUGCCGGGAUUACUUUGGUAUCUUGCUACCAAACUUACGGCAAGGUUUACAUCGGGUCUGGUACACAGCAUGGCAUACAUAAUAGAUCCUAUGGCUGAAGCAUAGGGGAUGACACUCAUCUCUUCUUUAUCUUUUGCCGUGGUCGGUGACUGAGCUGAGCUUAGUCUCAUACCUUGUAACAUAGGCAAGAACCCCUUCUUGGACUGAUCCAUUCUGAAUCUCUUCAAAAUCUUAUCAAGGUAUGUACUUUGUGAAAGACCUAUGAGGCGUCUCGAUCUAUCUCUAUAGAUCUUGAUGCCUAAUAUGUAAGCAGCUUCUCCAAGGUCCUUCAUUGAAAAACACUUAUUCAAGUAGGCCUUAAUGCUGUCUAGAAAUUCUAUAUUAUUUCCCAUCAGGAGUAUGUCAUCUACAUAUAAUAUGAGAAAUGCUACAGAGCUCCCACUCACUUUCUUGUAAACGCAGGCUUCUCCAUAAGUCUGCAUAAACCCAAACGCUUUGAUCAUCUCAUCAAAGCGAAUGUUCCAACUCCAAGAUGCUUGCACCAGUCCAUAAAUGGAUCGCUGGAGCUUGCAUACUUUGUUAGCGUUCAGAGGAUCGACAAAACCUUCCGGCUGCAUCAUAUACAGUUCUUCCUUAAGAUGCCCGUUAAGGAAUGCUGUUUUGACGUCCAUCUGCCAUAUCUCAUAAUCAUAGUAUGCGGCAAUUGCUAACAUGAUUCGGACGGACUUUAGCUUCGCUACGGGAGAGAAUGUCUCGUCGUAGUCAAUCCCUUGAACCUGUCGAUAACCCUUAGCGACAAGUCGAGCUUUAUAGAUGGUAACAUUACCAUCCGCGUCCGUCUUCUUCUUAAAGAUCCAUUUGUUUUCUAUCGCUCGCCGAUCAUCGGGCAAGUCUGUCAAAGUCCAUACUUUGUUUUCAUACAUGGAUUCUAUCUCGGAUUUCAUGGCUUCUAGCCAUUUGUUGGAAUCCGGGCCCGUCAUUGCUUCUUCAUAGUUCGAAGGUUCAUUGUUGUCUAACAACAUGAUUUCCAGGACAGGGUUGCCGUACCACUCUGGUGCGGAACGUGUCCUUGUGGACCUACGAAGUUCAGCAGUAACUUGAUCCGAAGUACCUUGAUCAUUAUCAUGGUUUUCCUCUUCAGUUGGUGUGGGCAUCACAGGAAUGGUUUCCUGUGCUGCGUCACCAUCCCGCUCAAGAGGUAGUACUUCAUCGAGUUCUACUUUCCUCCCACUUACUUCUUUCGAGAGAAACUCUUUUUCCAGAAAGCAUCCGUUCUUGGCAACAAAGAUCUUGCCUUCGGAUCUUAAGUAGAAGGUAUACCCUAUAGUUUCCUUAGGGUAUCCUAUGAAUACGCAUUUUUCCGACUUGGGUUCGAGCUUUUCAGGUUGAAGUUUCUUGACAUAAGCUUCGCAUCCCCAAACUUUUAGAAACGACAGCUUAGGUUUCUUCCCAAACCAUAAUUCAUAUGGUGUCGUCUCAACGGAUUUAGACGGUGCCCUAUUUAAAGUGAAUGUAGCUGUCUCUAGAGCGUAUCCCCAAAAUGAUAGCGGUAAAUCGGUAAGAGACAUCAUAGACCGCACCAUAUCCAAUAGAGUGCGAUUACGACGUUCGGACACACCGUUUCGCUGAGGUGUUCCAGGCGGCGUGAGCUGUGAAACGAUUCCACAUUUCUUUAAGUGUGUACCAAAUUCGUGACUUAAGUAUUCUCCUCCACGAUCUGAUCGUAAGAAUUUUAUCUUUCAGUCACGUUGAUUCUCCACCUCAUUCUGAAAUUCCUUGAACUUUUCAAAGGUCUCAGACUUGUGUUUCAUUAAGUAGACAUACCCAUAUCUACUCAAGUCAUCUGUGAGGGUGAGAACACAACGAUAUCCUCCGCGAGCCUCAACGCUCAUUGGACCGCACACAUCGGUAUGUAUGAUUUCCAACAAGUUGGUUGCUCGCUCCAUUGUUCCGGAGAACGGAGUCUUGGUCAUUUUGCCCAAAAGGCAUUGUUCGCACGUGUCAAACGAUUCAUAAUCAAGAGACUCUAAAAGUCCAUCGGCAUGGAGCUUCUUCAUGCGCUUGACACCAAUGUGACCAAGGCGGCAGUGCCACAAGUAUGUGGGACUAUCGUUAUCAACUUUAAAUCUUUUGGCAUCUACACUAUGAACAUGUGUAAUAUUACGCUCGAGAUUCAUUAAGAAUAAACCAUUGACCAUCGGAGCAUGACCAUAAAACAUAUCUCUCAUAUAAAUCGAACAACCAUUAUUCUCAGACUUAAAUGAGUAGCCAUCUCGUAUUAAACGAGAUCCAGAUACAAUGUUCAUGCUCAAACUUGGCACUAAAUAACAAUUAUUGAGGUUCAAAACUAAUCCCGUAGGUAAAUGUAGAGGCAGCGUGCCGACGGCGAUCACAUCGACUUUGGAACCAUUCCCGACGCGCAUCGUCACCUCGUCCUUUGCCAGUCUCCGUUUAUUCCGCAGCUCCUGCUGUGAGUUACAAAUAUGAGCAACGACACCGGUAUCAAAUACCCAGGAGUUACUACGAUUACUGGUAAGGUACACAUCAAUCACAUGUAUAUCAAAUAUACCUUUGGUGUUGCCGGCCUUCUUAUCCGCUAAGUAUUUGGGGCAGUUCCGCUUCCAGUGACCCUUCCCCUUGCAAUAAAAGCACUUAGUCUCAGGCUUGGGUCCAUUCUUCGACUUCUUCCCGGUAACUGGCUUACCAGGCGCGGCAACAUCUUUGCCGUCCUUCUUGAAGUUCUUCUUACCCUUGCCCUUCUUGAACUUAGUGGUCUUAUUGACCAUCAACACUUGAUGUUCUUUCUUGAUUUCAGCCUCUGCUGACUUCAGCAUCGAGAACAAUUCAGGAAUGGUCUUUUCCAUUCCUUGCAUGUUGUAGUUCAUCACAAAGCUCUUGUAGCUUGGUGGGAGCGACUGGAGGAUUCUGUCAAUGACCGCCUCAUCUGGGAGGUUAAUGUUUAGCUGGGUCAUACGGUUGUGCAACCCAGACAUCUUCAGGAUGUGCUCACUGACAGAACUGUUUUCCUCCAUCUUACAACUGUAGAACUUGUCGGAGACAUCAUAUCUCUCGACCCGGGCAUGAGCUUGGAAAACUAGUUUCAGCUCUUCGAACAUCUCAUAUGCUCCGUGAUGCUCAAAACGCUUUUGGAGCCCCGGUUCUAAGCUGUAAAGCAUGCCGCACUGAACGAGGGAGUAAUCAUCAGCGCGAGUUUGCCAAGCAUUCAUAAUGUCUUGGUUCUCUGGGACGGGAGCAUCACCUAGCGGUCCUUCUAGGACAUAUUGUUUCCUGGCAGCUAUGAGGAUGAUCCUCAAGUUCCGGACCCAGUCCGUAUAGUUGCUGCCAUCAUCUUUCAGCUUGGUUUUCUCUAGGAACGCGUUGAAGUUCAUGUUGACAUUAGCGUUGGCCAUUGAUCUACAAGACAUAUUUGCAAAGGUUUUAGACUAAGUUCAUGAUAAUAAAGUUCUAAUCAAAUUAUGAACUCCCACUUAGAUUAGACAUCCCUUUAGUCAUCUAAGUGUUACACGAUCCGAGUCGACUAGCCCGUGUCCGAUCAUCACGUGAGACGGACUAAUCAUCGUCGGUGAACAUUUUCAUGUUGAUCGUAUCUUCUAUACGAUUCGUGUUCGACCUUUCGGUCUCCGUGUUCCGAGGCCAUGUCUGCACAUGCUAGGCUCGUCAAGUUAACCCUAAGUGUUUUCGCUGUGUAAAACUGUCUUACAUCCGUUGUAUGUGAACGUAAGAAUCCAUCACACCCGAUCAUCACGUGGUGCUUAGAAACGACGAACUGUAGCAACGGUGCACAGUUAGGGGAGAACACUUCUUGAAAUUUUUUAUAAGGGAUCAUCUUAUUUACUACCGUCGUCCUAAGUAAACAAGAUGCAUAAUACAUAAUAAACAUCACAUGCAAUUAUAUAGUUGUGACAUGAUAUGGCCAAUAUCAUAUAGCUCCAUUGAUCUUCAUCUUCGGGGCUCCAUGAUCAUCUUGUCACCGGCUUGACACCAUGAUCUCCAUCAUCAUGAUCUCCAUCAUCGUGUCUUCAUGAAGUUGUCACGCCAACGACUACUUCUACUUCUAUGACUAACGUUUAUCAAUAAAGUAAAGUAGUUUACAUGACGUUAUUCAAAGACACGCAGGUCAUACAAAAGAAUAAUGACAACUCCUAUGGCUCCUGCCGGUUGUCAUACUCAUCGACAUGCAAGUCGUGAAUCCUAUUGCAAAGAACAUGAUCUCAUACAUCACAAUUCAUCAUUCAUCACAACUUCUGGCCAUAUCACAUCACAUGAUCAAUCGCUGCAAAAACAAGUUAGACGUCCUCUAAUUGUUGUUGCAUCUUUUACGUGGCUGCAAUUGGGUUCUAGCAAGAACGUUUUCUUACCUACGAAUCACCACAACGUGAUUUUGUCAACUUCUAUUUACCCUUCAUAAGGGCCCUGUUCAUCGAUUCCGCUCCAACUAAGGUGGGAGAGACAGACACCCGCCAGCCACCUUAUGCAACUUGUGCAUGUCAGUCGGUGGAACCGAUCUCACGUAAGAGUACGUGUAAGGUUGGUCCGGGCCGCUUCAUCCCACAAUACCGUUGAGCAAGAAAAGACUAGUAGAGGCAAGUAAGAUGACAAAAUCCACGCCCACAACAAAGUUGUGUUCUACUCGUGCAAAGAGAACUACGCAUAGACCUAGCUCUGAUACCACUGUUGGGGAACGUUGCAGAAAAUUAAAAUUUUUCCUACGGUUUCACCAAGAUCCAUCUAUGAGUUCAUCUAAGCAACGAGUCUAGGGAGAGAGUUUGCAUCUACAUACCACUUGUAGAUCGCGUGCGGAAGCUUGCAAGGUGAUGAUGUAGUCGUACUCGACGUGAUCCAAAUCACCGAUGACCUGCGCCGAACGGACGACACCUCCGCGUUCAACACACGUACGGAACAGCCACGUCUCCUCUUCUUGAUCCAGCAAGGGAGGGAGGAGAGGUUGAGGGAGAUGGCACCAGCAGCAGCACGACGGCGUGGUGUUGAUGGAGCUGCAGUACUCCGGCAGAGCUUCGCUAAGCACUAUGGAGGUGGAGGAGGUGUUGGGGAGGGAGAAGGAGGCAACCAAAGGCCAGGGCGUUCAGGUAUGAAGUCCCUCCUCUCCCCCACUAUAUAUAGGGGUGCCAAGGGGGGGUGGACGGCCCUAGGAGAUCCAAUCUCCUAGGGGGUGCGGCGGCCAAGGGGGGUUUUCCCUCCCCCCAAGGCACCUAGGAGCUGCCUUACCCUCCUAGGACUCUUGCCCCCUUGAACCCUAGGCGCAUGGGCCUAUGUGGGGCUGGUGCCCUUGGCCCAUUAGGCCAAGGCGCACCCCCUUACAGCCCAUGUGGCCCCCCGGGGCAGGUGGACCCACCCGGUGGACCCCCGGGACCCUUCCGGUGGUCCCGGUACAACACCGAUAACCCCGAAACUUUUCCCGAUGCCCGAAACAGGACUUCCCAUAUAUAAAUCUUUACCUCUAGACCAUUCCGGAACUCCUCGUGACGUCCGGGAUCUCAUCCAGGACUCCGAACAACAUUCGGGUUACUGCAUAUACAUAUCCCUACAACCCUAGCGUAACCGAACCUUAAGUGUGUAGACCCUACGGGUUCGGGAGACAUGCAGACAUGACCGAGACUCUCUCAGUUAAUAACCAUCAGCGGGAUCUGGAUACCCAUGAUGGCUCCCACAUGCUCCUCGAUGUUGUCAUCGGAUGAACCACUAUGUCGAGGAUUCGAUCAAACCCUGUAUGCAAUUCCCUUUGUCAAUCGGUACGUUACUUGCCCGAGACUCGAUCGUCGGUAUCCCAAUACCUUGUUCAGUCUCGUUACCGGCAAGUCACUUUACUCGUACCGUAAUGCAUGAUCCCGUGUCCAACUCCUUGGUCACUUUGAGCUCAAUAUGAUGAUGCAUUACCGAGUGGGCCCAGAGAUACCUCUCCGUCAUACGGAGUGACAAAUCCCAGUCUCGAUCCGUGUCAACCCAACAGCUACUUUCGGAGAUACCUGUAAUGCACCUUUGUAGUCACCUAGUUACGUUGUGACGUUUGAUGCACCCAAGGCACUCUUACGGUAGCCGGGAGUUACACGAUCUCAUGGUUGUAGGAAGAGAUACUUGACACUUGCAAAGCUCUAGCAAAACGAACUACACGAUCUUUUAUGCUAUGCUUAGGAUUGGGUCUUGUCCAUCACAUCAUUCUCCUAAUGAUGUGAUCCCAUUAUCAACGACAUCCAAUGUCCAUAGUCAGGAAACCAUGACUAUCUGUUGAUCACAACGAGCUGGUCAACUAGAGGCUUACCAGGGACAUAGUGUGGUCUAAGUAUUCACACGUGUAUUACGAUUUCCGGAUAAUACAGUUAUAGCAUGAAUAAAAGACAAUUAUCAUGAACAUUGAAAUAUAAUAAUACUUUUAUUAUUGCCUCUAGGGCAUAUUUCCAACAAGUCCAGCUAUCCGGACACCCCCUAAUCCAGGACUCCCUCAGUAGCCCCUGAACCAAGCUUCAAUGACGAUAAGUCUGGCGCGUAUAUUGCUUGGCAUUGCAAGGCGGGUUCCUCCUCCGAAUGAUAGAAGAUUGUGAACACCAGGAUAGUGUCCGGCUCUGCAAAAUAAAUUCCACAUUCCACCGUAGAGAGAAUAAUAUAUACACAAGUUCAAUCUGCUGACGUUUUUUGCGGCAUGACGUCACGCCACUACCAAGCCAUUACUUCAAUCACACCUCAGCGCAUUUAGCGAAGCGGUUUCCUUGGCACGUCUUGUUGAAGCAGAGAUCGUGUUCCCCCUUAAUCCGGGAUUCUCAUCAAUAUGGACGUGGGUAACCCAACCGCGCCCGUCGCCCCGCCCCCUCUAUCGAAGGCGAGUCCCAAACGGUCAUGGAGACGACUCUUGGUAUUCUCCCUCUUUAUAACGGGACCAAGACUCGUUUCUUUUCUUUAAUCCUCCAUCGAAUCCUCUCCCUGCUCCAAGUUCCAGCACCUAGAGCUCCAGAUUCGAGCGCUUUGGACCUUCAACGAUGUCCGGUUCCGACCUCCAGGGCCGGUGGAUGCCCUCCUCCGUCACGGAGGAGGACGUGCUAAAGCUGCGGGAGGCCAAGUACCUGGCUUAUGAGAUUUCACACAGGUUGCCUGCCGAAGGGCAGGCCAUCCCCACCCCCGAGUCCGACGAGUAUGUCGUUUUUGUAUCCCACCUCCGUUGGGGUUUAGGCUUCCCGAUGGAUCCUUUUGCGAGAGGGCUCAUGUUUUACUAUCGGUUGGAAUUCCACGAUUUGGCUCCGGAGUCCAUCCUCCAUAUUUCCGCAUUUAUUGUUGUCUGCGAAGCCUUCCUCCGCGUAACCCCACACUUCGGCUUGUGGCUGAAGACCUUCAAUGUGGCGCCGAAGAUGAUCGGGGGGCGUCAAGCGGAGUGCAGCGGGGCGGCCAUAAGUAGGAGGGCCGAUGCCCCGUGGCCCGCUGGCUCCUUCCAAGAGGAGCUUGGCCCGUGGCAGCAAGAGUGGUUCUAUAUCACCGUUUCAAGGGGCCGCAGAUAAAAGCCGCCGCCCUUAUUCCGCCCGGACCUCCACGACGGUUGAUGUCGUGGGUCAACCAAGGGCUCAACUGGGGUCCGUCAAAGGACGUGCCCCUACUGCAGGGCCGGAUUCGAGAUCUCCAAACGAGGGAGGUUGAUAUGGUGGUGGUAAUGCAGGUUAUGCUGAUUAGGCGUCUUCCGCCCUGCAAACGCCGCCCUCUCCGGCUGUGGGGGUUCAAUCCGGAGGGCCCACAGAUUCUUCAACACUUCAUGGGCAUGACACCCCUGGAGAUGUACAAAUUAUUCUUCGGAUCGCAAGAGGCGCGUCCGGAAUUGACCGAGGAUGCUGGCCUAAGCUGCAAUCGCCCGGACUCAAGUAAGUAGUUCCAAGUCCGGACAUACCGUUUGUUUGCCUUUCGAUGAUUCGCCUUAUGACCAACUUCCUUCUACACAGGAGUGGAUAGCGGAAGCAAAAUUGAUAUGGUGUCCGGCCCCCCUCCCCGAGACCGCGCCGGAUUCCGUGCUGGUCCGGAUGCUUGAGGUUGCGCCUCCAGAGGAAGGCGAAGGGGAAAGCAGGAAAGCUACUGCCUCGCCUAAGGAGGCUCUUGAGAGAGGGGGGAUCGAGAAUCCCUCCCUCCAAGGGGAGAAGAGGACUGCCUCCGAGGACCCGGGGGCAAAAGCCCCUAAACGAGGGAAGAAAUCUUCGCCAGAGGGCCCUGCGUCCGGGGAGGCCCCGGUCGCACAAUCUCCCUUAAAGAAUCGGCCCUCCAACAAGCCGUAAGUAGAAAGAAAGGAGUUUUAUAAUAAGGGACAUCCCUAUUUGUGCUUCUGAGGAUAACUAAAGUUUUUACCUUGUAGUUCGGAUCUCCGUCCUUCGCAAAUGAGCUCGUCUUCGGGGGACCUUCGUCCGGAGAUGAUGGAGAGCGAGACGCCUCCGUUCGGGGCGCCGUUGGAUAGGGCGGACGAGCCUAAAGUGUCGUCACGGAGGGAGCCCCCUGGUUUCGCAGAGCCGGAUAGUUCAGCGCCAACUGGUGUACGGCUGAAGGAUUUGCUUGAGAAGGCGUCUAUCUCAGAAGAUCACCAUGCGUUGAUGAGCAUGGUGAUUGAAAGGAUUUCGUCCGCCGAAGGCGGGUUGCAUAAUGCCGUCAGGAGUUUGCUGGCGGGGUUUGAGGCGCGUAAAAAUGACACACCUUUUAACAGUUUAGCAUAUAGAAUGCACCCUGUAUAGAUAGUAGCCCCUGAGACUCGGUAGGUUGUCGAAAUCGACAGCGUGCCAAGGAUCAAAAUCGCAGGUUUAAAUUUCCGCCGUGCCGAUGCAGGUGGCGGGUCGUCCGGGGGCCAGUCGGACUGAUGGAGUUGCUGAACUAAAGCGGCAACUCGCUGUUGCGGAUGCGGACAUCACGCUGGUCAACAGGCGACUUGAUGAGUCGCAAGGUAAGUGUUUCUGUGCGGUCACUUGUAAGGGGGCCGAAGCCAGCUCCUUACAACAUGUGCGUGAAAUGCAGAUAGUGCCGCUGCUGUGGAGAGCCUUCGGGCCGAACUUGCUCAAGCCAAGGAGCAGGCCAGAAGGAGUAAUGCGGCAGCCUCGAGGGCGGCCGAGGAGUUAUCGGCCGAAAGGGCCGCACACUGCCGGAGCAGGGAAGAGAUGGCCGAAAUGGCCGUUAAGUUAAAAGAUGCUACCGACCGCAAUGAGGCUCUUGGGAAGGAGCGCCUAGUGGGGCAAGAAGACCUGGAGAAGGACACCGCCGAAGCCAAGGAUGCCCGCUCUGCAAUGCGGGCUAUAAAGGAAGAGCUGCGCCAGGCCGGAGAAAUUGUAGCUGGCAAGCCUUUUCUACUGCGCCGAAGGUUUACGGAUCCAAAGUAUGCUCAGCUGGGCCAACUGUGGGGUCCAGAGGACCCUUAUAUGGACUUAGCAACGAGUGCGGCGGAUGCCGUUGUGCAUUUUCGAAGCCAGAAGGAUCACAAGACGGAAGAGCUGUUUUGGUCUCAAUUCCAUAGUCCGGAGUUCUCACUUCCGCUGACCGACCAUUUGGCCGAGUGGGCUGAGCUAAAUAAGUUGUCCGGGCUUGCUAUGACGGAUAUAGUGACCCAUGUCUGGCCGAAUAGGCCCGAGCCGAAGAGUUACUUUGGCUUAUUGCAGCAAUUUCUUGGGGCAGUGCCGCAUAUGAAGGCAAUGAAGCGGUCGGCCUGCAUAGAGGGUGCGCGGAUGGCACUCGCCCGUGUGAAGACACAUUGGACAGAGAUGGAUGCCACCGCUGUUGCGACCCCGGGUUCGGACGAUAACCGGUUACCCGCCGAGCACUAUUUUGGCGAAGUGCUGCGUGGUGCUCGUGUAAUAGAGUCGCAGUGCUCAAAAAAUGUUACGUUCGAGUGAACGUUUUUAUGAUGUAAAACAAUAUUUAUGAUGUAAGCGCCUUUUAUACUUGUGCGUUCAAGUAAUAGAAUAUCUCCUUUGCGGCCGUUCAUGUAUACGUGUGUAUAACCUGAAAGACGGCAGUCGUCGGCUUCAGCCCCCAUGCACAAGGUGCGGGGGUGUUCACAAAAAAUAGCGCGUUUUCACACUUAAUCCGACGUCUCGGUCCUGUAAAGGAGGUGGUAGCGUAGCAAACGAGGCAACUGGACUAUAAUGCUUUAUCACUUUCACUUAGCCAUGGAGUUCGAGGGUGGGGCUAGACAUAGCCCCUGGGGGCACCACGCUCUCCGAAUUUGGGGCGCGUAUGUGCCUGACCGGGAAACGGCCCUUCGUCAAAGCGGAGGAAUUCUAAACAUUCCCAUGGUCGAUCGAGUGGUUGACCAGUCUCUCGCUGUAUCAUGACAGUCAGUUUUCGGCUUUCUCUACUGAGGUGCUCGCCCAGCCGAACUGGGGCACAAUCGCAGUAGUUCUCCUGGUGCCGCAUUAGCCGAUGAUACGGAACGUAAGGAGCAAAACACAGGAGCCGGGCAAACCCAACAUUUGACCAAAGACAUGAUUCAGAGCUGAUGCAUAUAAGGCCUAACUCGAGACGCCGAACACUCCCGAAGGUGUUCGGUCUUUACAAUAGCGGGCAAAAUAAUGCCCUAAGCCCCUUGUGUCCAGGUACGGCAGGUUCUUCUGGCGCGGCCGAUGCCAAAAUGCCAGUCGCCACUCUGGUUAUAAUGAGAAACCAGGGGAUUAUAGCAACAAGAGACAGUAAGAAAGGUUUACGUAGGGUCUUAGUCUGAAAAGAGUCCUUGCAACGGGUCCCUACUGCACGUCUGCGCAUGUGUCUCUGUUGUGCCGUAUCCUGGACGGGUGUGCAUGCUGUUCAUCUGUAAAAAGAGAGGAACUUAGUUUGAAAAGAAAUCGUGCGAGAAAGUGCAUAAAAAAUUGAAAUAUAGAUUAAUAAAGCUGAGCCUAUGCUAGCUCAUCAUGGCUUAUAUGUACAAACCCUUGUGAAGGGGUGUGUGGCUAGGUAGCCCCUAGCUUAUUUAUUCCGGACUCGUCCAGCCGUGUCCGGGGUCUCAGGCGACCUUGCCACGUGGACCGGGCAUUUUAAGCGUAAGAGACGCGUAAUGUGGUAUUGCAUUGAAGCGGACGAAAGCUUCCCGUCCCAGUGAUGCUUGAUAGCUACUUUUAAAUGGGGCGACAUGAAAGGUUAGCUUUUCUCGUCAGAAUUUGUCAGGUGACCCGAACACAACUUCUAGUAAUAAUGAAACUGUGCACCUGGCGUAAGGGCCUGGCGCCACUCCUUUGAAGGAAGUGCGGCUAUGCCGAAUUGUAGUAGGGUCUAUCCCAACUUGCGGAUUGUGUCCGAAUAUAGCAGGUUUAAGUCACUGCCGCCGUCCAUCAAAACCUGCGUGAAUUGCAGUCUGUCUAUUAUGGGAUCCAAUAUCAGGGCAGUCUAUCCUGCGUUCCGGAUACUUCUGGACUAAUCCAGAUGGUCGAAAGUGAUUGGUUUUGACAUCCAAUCUCGGUGUUCCGCUGGGGUGGACCGUGCGACACUUGUCUUAGCGAGUGCCGUGUUGGUUUUCCGUACUAUCACAUGAAGUGAGUUUACUGUUUUGACUUCUUGCGGGAAAGUCUUUUGACUUCCGGUGCUCUACUGGUGGGGUUCGUCAUCGUCCUCGCUUGGCGCAUCGAGCCCCUUGUGUCCGGCGUUGAGUCUGCCGGACUGUUUAAAAACCCAACAAUUUCGGUUGGUAUGGUUUGCAGGCCUUCCGGAGGUACUGUGGAUUUGACAUAUCCGAUCUAAAAUUUUGUUUAAAUUUGAUAGCUCGUCGCUGUUGUCCUUAAGAGGCAGUGUUUUAUUGUUUGGCCGCGAGCUUUUGAAUCCGGCGUUGACCGCCGUGCCCUUUGGGUUUUUUUCUUUAUUCCGGCGCUGAUCUUUCCUGCGACGUGAUUUUCCGUUUCCAUCUCUGAUCUCGGAUGUACUCGGGUCGCUGGUGCUGCAUCUUGCCAGCCAGCUGUCUUCUCCUGUGCAAAAGUGCGUCAUGAGGCUUGUUAGCGCGGCCAUUGUUCUUGGCUUCUCUUGGCCGAGGUGUCUGGCGAGCCAUUCGUCUCGGACGUUGUGUUUAAAAGCUGCUAAGGCUUCCGCGUCCGGACAGUCGACUAUUUGGUUCUUUUUGGUAAGGAACCUGUUCCAGAAUUUGCGCGCUGACUCUCCGGGCUGUUGGGUUAUAUGACUCAGAUCGUCUGCAUCUGGAGGGCGGACAUAAGUCCCUUGAAAAUUUUCUCUAAACGCGUCCUCAAGCUCUUCCCAACUUCCAACAGUGUUUUCUAGGAGGCUUUUGAGCCAAUGCCGAGCUGGCCCUUUGAGCUUGAGGGGUAGGUAUUUUAUGGCGUGGAGAUCAUCUCCUCUAGCCAUGUGUAUGUGUAGUAUGUAAUCUUCUAUCCAGACUCCUGGGUCUGUUGUGCCGUCGUAUGCCUCUAUGUUUAUGGGUUUGAACCCUGGUGGAAAUUCAUGAUCUAGCACCUCAUCGGUAAAACAUAGCGGGUGUGCGGUGCCCCUGUAUUUGGGUGUGCCGCUAUCUUCGAACACUUGUCGUGUUGUGUUACUUCCUGGGGCCCUCCUUUUUGGCCCGUAGAUGGACCUAGUUGGGCCGUCCGUUUUCCCAGGAUCAUAAGUCGGCUUGUGUGCGGUGCCGCUUGUCGCUUUUGGCCUGUCAUCUGGCCGUCUAUCCGGCCGGGCGGCCUCUUUAUUUUUUGACUGUGAGGGCUCUAUGGCUUCCUCGUCAAAUUCUGGCAGCAGCUUGCGCUUCGGGUAGCUCUUUGUUUGAUGGCCAUUGCCAUAUUUGUCUGCGGACUUGAGUAUUUUGCUCCACUUCAUUCUGAGUAUGUCUUCCGCUGUUUUGAGCUUCCUUUUUUCCUUCUUCAAACUUCUUGCAGUGGCGACGAGUCUUUUGUGAAGGUUCUUAUGCUCCGGUGGUGUGUCCGGACUGUUGAUUGCUCCGUGAAGGGGUUGAUUAUCCAGUUCGUCCUGUUCGGAUGGUUGCUUGGUUGUAUGUUCGUCGUUCGUUGGUUUGCCCUGCUCUAUCGCUGGGUCGUUAGGAAUGUUGCUUUGAUCGAGGCGGGACUUAGGGCGGCGUCUACGUCGCCGUUUUGGUUGUUUAUCGAUGGGAUUAUCCUCUGCCGCGUCCCGUUGUUCCUCGGUAUCGCUUCCCCUUGGGGUGUCCACCAUAUGUAUGUCAUGUGACGAGGUGGCCUUCCAGUGCCCUGUAGGCGCUGGUUCUUGAUCGUCUCCGGCAUCGUCAUCCAUACCGUUGAUGUCUUCGGAGUCGUAGUUUAGCACGUCGGUUAGAUCGUCGACGGUGGCUAUGAAGUGGGUGGUGGGUGGGCUCUGAAUUUCUUCAUUGUCCGUGUCCCGACCAUCCUGGCCGUAGUUCGGCCAGGGCUCUCCGGAUAGCGAGAGAUGCUUCAGCGAAUUUAAGAUAUCGCCGAAGCGUGAGUGCUGAAAGAUGUCCGCAGCGGUGAAUUCCAUGAUCGGCGCCCAGUCGGAUUCGACUGGCAGGGGCGCAUGAGGUUCGGAGUCCGGCAGAGAGUCCGGCACCUCGGAGUCAUGAGCUUUAUGCGGGACAAGGUAAGUGUUCGGCUCCAUCGCCGUAGAAGUUGCAGCUCCCGAGGCGGUGUCCAGCCAUCCGUCCUUGAUCUGAGCGAUCGGCUCCGGACUAUGGGUCGGAGCGGAUUCGUGUGCGACCUCCAAGGUGAUGUCCGGCGGCAGAGUUAGGUCGUGCCCAUCGUGACAGCGCGGCAUGCUCGGCUGUGGCUCAGAUCCAUCGAAGAUCAAGUCCCUGUGGAUAUCGGCCGUGAAGUUUAGGCUUCCAAACCUGACCUGACGGCCAGGGGCGUAGCUUUCGAUCUGCUCCAGAUGGCCAAGUGAGUUGGCCCGCAGUGCGAAGCCGCCGAAUACGAAGAUCUGUCCGGGGAGAAAAGUCUCACCCAGGACUACGUCGUUGUCGAUUGAAGAGGCCAUCAAGCCUAUCGGUGACGACACAGAGGAACUCUCAAUGAAAGCACCAAUGUCGGUGUCAAAACCGGCGGAUCUCGGGUAGGGCGUCCCGAACUAUGCGUCUAGGCGGAUGGUAACAGGAGACAUGGGACACGAUGUUUUACCCAGGUUCGGGCCCUCUUGAUGGAGGUAAAACCCUACGUCCUGCUUGAUUGAUAUUGAUAUUGUGGAUGUUUACAAGAGUGGAUCUACCACGAGAUCAAGGAGGCUAAACCCUAGAAGCUAGCCCAUGGUAUGAUUGUAAUGGUUGUUGUUGUUGUUGUCCUACGGACUAGAGCCAUCCGGUUUAUAUAGACACCGGAGAGGGCUAGGGUUACAUAGAGUCGGUUACAAUGGUAGGAGAUCUACGUAUCCGUAUCGCCAAGCUUGCCUUCCACGCCAAGGAAAGUCCCAUCCGGACACGGGACAAAGUCUUCAAUCUUGUAUCUUCAUAGUCUUGGAGUCCGGUCGAUGAUGAUAGUCCGGCCGAUGAUAGUUCGGCUGAUGAUGGUAGUCCGGCUAUCCGGACACCCCCUAAUCCAGGACUCCCUCAGGUGGAUCAUCUUAAAAGUACGGGGACUUCGGUCUCGAUUACUUGUGUGGCUGGAAGUAGUCCGGGAUAAUCGGCCGUAAUGGCCACUAAGGUGUUGUCCUUGCUCAAUUCAUGAAACACCCCAUCGAUCAGCUCCACAGAUAAGUCCGGGUACUCUUGGGAGUCCGGGUCUAAGGACCGUUCCGGGUCCUCGGGUUGUGGAGGAGGGCUGUUUAUCUCCUUUACAGCCUGGCGUAGCUCCUGCGUUGAGAUUGCUAGACUGAAUACUUAACUAUGGGAAUAUGAAACAGAUGGGCGAGUGAAAGUGUUCGCUUACCCAGCUUGGAGGAUUGUACAUAGAAAAUCCGCCCCGUGGGUUGACGUGGAGGAAUUCCUCCUCUUCUCCCUUGUACAAAGUGGACAAGAUCUUUAUUAGAGCGGCAGCCGAUUCUGGCCCCUUACGGCCGCACCGGGUGGCGUCGUCCUCCCUGUUGAAAUCCCACAUGGGAUGGCCUCUAUACUGAAUCGGCUGCACCCCCCGCAUAAUGCAUGUGGCCAUGACCUCGAUCAUGGUCAGUCUGAAAUGAGCUAACAACCUUAUCCGGCUCAUCAGGUAAAUGACGUCCCUGUCAUUUUCCUUCUGAGGGCUCCGUGGACGCCAGCUUAGGCGCUUCUUCAAAGGAGCAUUAUUGAACUCAGGGAGGACGAUCCGAACAGGGUCCGGCAGGGGGACAUCUUCUAUAUAAAACCAUUCUGUAGGCCAGUCUUCGGACGCCUUCUUUGGGGUUCUGGAUAGAUAUCCAAUCCCGGCUGUAGGACCUUGAGAAGAGGUGUGUAGAGGGGGGGGGGGGUGAUUAGACACUAAGUACCAAAGUUGCAGUUUUUAGCAAAUUUAAGUUUAAGUGGAGUUUAGGCACAAGUUUAACAUUCACAACACAUAGCAAGCAAGCAUGCAAAGAGUAUAUGAGCAGCGGAAAAUAAAGCAUGCAACUUGCAAGAAUGUAAAGGGAAGGGUUUUGGAGGAUUCAAACACAAUUGGAGACACAGAUGUUUUUGGCGUGGUUCCGAUAGGUGGUGCUAUUGUACAUCCACGUUGAUGGAGACUUCAACCCACAAAGGGUAACGGUUGCGCGAGUCCACGGAGGGCUCCACCCACGAAGGGUCCACAAAGAAGCAACCUUGUCUAUCCCACCAUGGCCGUCGCCCACGAAGGACUUGCCUCACUAGCGGUAGAUCUUCACGAAGUAGGCGAUCUCCUUGCCCUUACAAACUCCUUGGUUCAACUCCACAAUCUUUGUUGGAGGCUCCCAAGUGACACCUAGCCAAUCUAGGAGACACCACUCUCCAAGAAGUAACAAAUGGUGCGUUGAUGAUGAACUCCUUGCUCUUGUGCUUUGAAUGAUAGUCUCCCCAACACUCGACUCUCUCUCAUAGGAUUUGGAUCUGGAGGAAAGAAGAUUUGAGUGGAAAGCAACUUGGGGAAGGCUAGAGAUCAAGAUUCAUAUGGUAGGAAUGGAAUAUCUUGGCCUCAACACAUGAGUAGGUAGUUCUCUCUCAGAACUGGUAAGUUGGAAGUGUAGGUUUGUUCUGAUGGCACUCUCCACGAAUGAAGAGGAGGUGGAGGGGUAUAUAUAGCCUCCAUACAAAAUCUAACCAUUACACACAAUUUACCAAUCUCGGUGGGACCGAAUCAACAAACUCGGUCAGACCGAUUUAGUAAACCUAGUGACCAUUAGGAUUUUCGGUGGGACCGAAAUGCAACUCGGUAGGACCGAUAUGGUUAGGGUUAGGGCAUAACGUAAUCUCGGUGAGACCGAUUACACAAACUCGGUAAGACCGAUUUUGGUAAUUAGCUAACCAGAGAGUUGGUCAGGCAAACUCGGUGGGACCGAUUACUCAAACUCGGUGGGACCGAUUUGGGUAAUAAGUUAACCAGAGAGUUUGCAUUGUAAUCUCGGUAGGACCGGUUGCUCAAACUCGGUAAGACCGUUUUUGAUAAUGGACAUACACAGAGAGAUUACAAUCCCAUCUCGGUGAGACCGAGAUCCCUAUCGGUGAGACCGAUUUGCCUAGGGUUUGUGGCAGUGGCUAUGACAUCUGAACUCGGUGCCGCCGGAUAGAAAGAAUAGGUGUGGCCGAUUUUGGCUUUAGGUUUAGGUAAUAUGUGGAUGUGAGAAAGUAGUUGAGGGUUUUUGAGCAUAUCACUAAGCACAUGAAGCAAGAGGCUCAUUAAGUAACACCUCAUCCCUCCUUGAUAGUAUUGGCUUUUCCUAUAGACUCAAUGUGAUCUUGGAUCACUAAAAUGUAAAAUGAAGAGUCUUGAGCUUGAAGCUUUAGCCAAUUCCUUGUCCUUAGCAUCUUGAAGGAGUUCCACAUCCUUUAGUCCAUGCCACUUCAUUGUUGAACUUGUCUGAAAUAUACUAGAUAAAAGUGUUAGUCCAACAAGAGAUAUGUUGACAUUAAUUACCAAAACCACCUAGGGAGCACUUGUGCUUUCAAUCUCCCCCUUUUUGGUAAUUGAUGACAACAUACAUCAAAGCUUUAGAAAAGGAUAUAAAGAAUAGCAAGUAAAGCUUUGGAAAGACAUGUAACAAGCAUAGGCUCCCCCUACAUGUAUGCAAUCAUGUGAUAUAUAGAAUAUAGAAGCUGUUGGAAAUAUGCCCUAGAGGCAACAAUAAAAGGAUUAUUAUUAUAUUUCCUUGUUCAUGAUUAUUGUCUUUUAUUCAUGCUAUAAUUGUAUUAUCCGAAAAUCGUAAUACACGUGUGAAUACUUAGACCACAACAUGUCCCUAGUGAGCCUCUAGUUGACUAGCUCGUUGAUCAACAGAUAGUCAUGGUUUCCUAACUAUGGACAUUGGAUGUCAUUGAUAACGGGAUCACAUCAUUAGGAGAAUGAUGUGAUAGACAAGACCCAAUCCUAAGCAUAGCACAAAGAUCGUGUAGUUCGUUUGCUAGAGCUUUUCCAAUGUCAAGUAUCUUUUCUUUAGACCAUGAGAUCGUGUAACUCCCGGAUACCGUAGGAGUGCUUUGGGUGUACCAAACGUCACAACGUAACUGGGUGACUAUAAAGGUGCACUACAGGUAUCUCCGAAAGUGUCUGUUGGGUUGACACGGAUCGGGACUGGGAUUUGUCACUCCGUAUGACGGAGAGGUAUCUCUGGGCCCACUCGGUAAUGCAUCAUCAUAAUGAGCUCAAAGUGACCAAGUGUCUGGUCACGGGAUCAUGAAUUACAGUACAAGUAAAGUGACUUGCCGGUAACGAGAUUGAAUGAGGUAUUGGGAUACCGACGAUCGAAUCUCGGGCAAGUAAUGUACCGAUUGACAAAGGGAAUUGUAUACGGGGUUGCUUAAAUCCUCGACGUCGUGGUUCAUCCGAUGAGAUCAUCGAGGAGUAUGUGGGAGAAAACAUGGGUAUCCAGAUCCCACUGUUGGUUAUUGACCGGAGAGCCGUCUCGGUCAUGUCUGCAUGUCUCUCGAACCCGUAGGGUCUACACACUUAAGGUUCGGUGACGCUAGGGUUGUAUGAAUAUGAGUAUGCAGCAAACCAAAAGUUGUUCGAAGUCCUGGAUGAGAUCCCGGACGUCAUGAGGAGUCCCAGAAUGGUCCGGAGGUAAAGAAUUAUAUAUGGGAAGUCGAGUUUCGGGCAUCGGGAAAGUUUCGGGGUCCACCGGUAUUGUACCGGGACCACCGGAAGGGUCCCGGGGGUCCACCGGGUGGGGCCACCUAUCCCGGAGGGCCCCAUGGGCUGAAGUGGGAGGGGAACCAGCCCCUAGUGGGAUGGUGCGCCCCCCUGGGCCCCCCUCUACGCCUAGGGUUGGGAACCCUAGGGGAGGGGGUGCCUCCAGUUGCCUUGGGGGGCACUCCACCCCCCCUUGGCCGCCGCCCCCCUAGAGAUCCCAUCUCUAGGGCCGGCGCCCCCCUGGGGUCCCUAUAUAAAGAGGGGGGUGGGAGGGCAGCCGCACCCAACACCCUGGCACCUCCCUCCCCUCCCUGCUACACCUCUCCCUCCCGUAGUUGCUUGGCGAAGCCCUGCCGGAGCCCUGCUGCAUCCACCACCACGCCGUCGUGCUGCUGGAUCUUCAUCAACCUCUCCUUCCCCCUUGCUAGAUCAAGAAGGAGGAUACGUCACGCUGACCGUAUGUGUGUUGAACGCGGAGGUGCCGUCCGUUCGACGCUAGGAUCUCCGGUGAUUUGGAUCACGACGAGAACGACUCCCUCAACCCCGUUCUCUUGAACGCUUCCGCACGCGAUCUACAAGGGUAUGUAGAUGCACUCCUCUCUCUCGUUGCUAGAUGAACUCAUAGAUUGAUCUUGGUGAACGUAGGAAAUUUUUUAUUUUAUGCAACGUUCCCCAACAGUGGCAUCAUGAGCUAGGUCUAUGCGUAGUUCUCUAUUGCACGAGUAGAACACAAAUCUGUUGUGGGCGUAGAUCUUGUCAACUUGCUUGCCAUUACUAGUCUUAUUUUGCUUCAGCGGUAUUGUGGGAUGAAGCGGCCCGGACCGACCUUACACGUACGCUUACGUGAGACAGGUUCCAACGACUAACAUGCACUAGUUGCAUAAGGUGGCUAGCGGGUGUUUGUCUCUCCCACUUUAGUUGGAGCGGAUUCGAUGAAAAGGGUCCUUAUGAAGGGUAAAUAGAAGUUGACAAAAUCACGUUGUGGUUAUUCGUAGGUAAGAAAACGUUCUUGCUAGAACCCAAUUGGAGCCACGUAAAAGAUGCAACAACAAUUAGAGGACGUCUAACUUGUUUUUGCGGCAAUUGCUAUGUGAUGUGAUAUGGCCAAAAGUUGUGAUGAAUGAUGAAUGAUAUAUUGUGAUGUAUGAGAUCAUGUUCUUGUAAUAGGAAUCACGACUUGCAUGUCGAUGAGUAUGACAACCGGCAGGAGCCAUAGGAGUUGUCUUAAUUAUUGUAUGACCCGUGUGUCAAUGAUUUAACGCCAUGUAAUUACUUUACUUUAUUGCUAAACCGUUAGCCAUAGUAGUAGAAGUAAUAGUUGGCGAGCAACUUCAUGGAGACACGAUGAUGGAGAUCAUGAUGAUGGAGAUCAUGGUGUCAUGCCGGUGACGAAGAUGAUCAUGGAGCCCCGAAGAUGAAGAACAAAGGAGCUAUAUGAUAUUGGCCAUAUCAUGUCACUACUAUAUAAUUGCAUGUGAUGUUUAUUAUGUUUAUGCAUCUUGUUUACUUAGAACGACGGUAGUAAAUAAGAUGAUCCCUUAUAAUAAUUUCAAGAAAGUGUCCCCCCUAACUGUGCGCCGUUGCUAAAGUUCGUCGUUUCGAAGCACCACGUGAUGAUCGGGUGUGAUAGAUACUUACGUUCACAUACAACGGGUGUAAGACAGUUUUACACAUGCAAAAACACUUAGGGUUAACUUGACGAGCCUAGCAUGUACAGACAUGGCCUCGGAACACAGAGACCGAAAGGUCGACCAUGAGUCAUAUGGAAGAUACGAUCAACAUGGAGAUGUUCACCGAUGAUGACUAGUCCGUCUCACGUGAUGAUCGGACACGGCCUACUCGACUCGGAUCAUGUAACACUUAGAUGACUAGAGGGAUGUCAAAUCUGAGUGGGAGUUCAUUAAAUAAUUUGAUUAAAUAAACUUAAUUAUCAUGAACUUAGUCUAAAAUCUUUGCAAAAAAUAUGUCUUGUAGAUCAAAUGGCCAACGCUCAUGUCAACAUGAACUUCAACGCGUUCCUAGAGAAAACCAAACUGAAAGAUGAUGGAAGCAACUAUACGGACUGGGUCCGGAACCUGAGGAUCAUCGUCAUAGCAGCCAAGAAAGCAUAUGUCCUAGAAGGACCGCUAGGUGAAGCACCCAUCCCAGAGAACCAAGAUGUUAUGAAUGCUUGGCACUCAUGUGCUGAUGAUUACUCCCUCGUUCAGUGCGGCAUGCUUUACAGCUUAGAACCAGGGCUCCAAAAGCGUUUUGAGCAACACGGAGCAUAUGAGAUGUUCGAAGAGCUGAAAAUGGUUUUCCAAGCUCAUGCCCGGGUCGAGAGAUAUGAGGUCUAUGACAAGUUCUAUAGUUGUAAGAUGGAGGAAAAUAGUUCUGUCAGUGAGCACAUACUUAAAAUGUCUGGGUUGCACAACUGCCUAUCCCAGCUGGACAUUAACCUCCCGGACGAGGCGGUCAUUGACAGAAUCCUUCAGUCGCUCCCACCGAGCUACAAGAGCUUUGUGAUGAACUACAAUAUGCAGGGGAUGGUGAAAACUAUUCCCGAAGUAUUUUCAAUGCUAAAGUCAGCAGAGGUAGAAAUCAAGAAAGAACAUCAAGUGUUGAUGGUCAAUAAAACCACCAAGUUCAAGAAGGGCAAGGGUAAGAAGAACUUCAAGAAGGACGGCAAACAUGUUGCCGCGCCCGGUAAGCCAGUUGCCGGGAAGAAGUCAAAGAAUGGACCCAAGCCUGAGACUGAGUGCUUUUAUUGCAAAGGGAAUGGUCACUGGAAGCGGAACUGCCCCAAAUACUUAGCGGACAAGAAGGCCGACAACACUAAAGGUAUAUGUGAUAUACAUGUAAUUGAUGUGUACCUUACCAGUACUCGUAGUAACUCCUGGGUAUUUGAUACCGGUGCCGUUGCUCAUAUUUGUAACUCACAGCAGGAGCUGCGGAAUAAGCGGAGACUGGCGAAGGACGAGGUGACGAUGCGCGUCGGGAAUGGUUCCAAGGUCGAUGUGAUCGCCGUCGGCACGCUACCUCUACAUUUACCUACGGGAUUAGUUUUAAACCUCAAUAAUUGUUAUUUAGUGCCAAGUUUGAGCAUGAACAUUGUAUCUGGAUCUCGUUUAAUGUGAGAUGGCUACUCAUUUAAAUCCGAGAAUAAUGGUUGUUCUAUUUAUAUGAGAGAUAUGUUUUAUGGUCAUGCCCCGAUGGUCAAUGGUUUAUUCUUAAUGAACCUCGAACGUAAUGUUACACAUAUUCAUAGUGUGAAUACCAAAAGUUGUAAAGUUGAUAACGAUAGUCCCACAUACUUGUGGCACUGCCGCCUUGGUCACAUUGGUGUCAAGCGCAUGAAGAAGCUCCAUGCUGAUGGACUUUUAGAGUCUCUCGAUUAUGAAUCAUUUGACACAUGCGAACCAUGCCUCAUGGGCAAAAUGACCAAGACUCCAUUCUCUGGAACAAUGGAGCGGGCAACCAACUUAUUGGAAAUCAUACAUACUGAUGUGUGUGGUCCAAUGAGCGUUGAGGCUCACGGAGGAUAUCGUUAUGUUCUCACUCUCACUGAUGACUUAAGUAGAUAUGGGUAUGUCUACUUGAUGAAACACAAGUCUGAAACCUUUGAAAAGUUCAAGGAAUUUCAGAAUGAAGUAGAGAAUCAACGUGGCCGAAAGAUAAAAUUCUUACGAUCAGAUCAUGGAGGAGAAUACUUAAGUCACGAAUUUGGUACGCACUUAAGAAAUUGUGGAAUCGUUUCACAACUCACGCCGCCUGGAACACCUCAGUGUAAUGGUGUGUCUGAACGUCGUAAUCGCACUCUAUUGGAUAUGGUGCGAUCUAUGAUGUCUCUUACCGAUUUACCACUAUCAUUUUGGGGAUACACUCUAGAGACAGCUACAUUCACUUUAAAUAGGGCACCGUCUAAAUCCGUUGAGACGACACCGUAUGAAAUAUGGUUUGGGAAGAAACCUAAGCUGUCGUUUCUAAAAGUUUGGGGAUGCGAUGCUUAUGUCAAGAAACUUCAACCUGAAAAGCUCGAACCCAAGUCAGAAAAAUGCGUCUUCACAGGAUACCCUAAGGAAACCAUUGGGUAUACCGUCUACCUUAGAUCCGAAGGCAAGAUCUUUGUUGCCAAGAACGGAUCCUUUCUGGAAAAAGAGUUUCUCUCGAAAGGAGUAAGUGGGAGGAAAGUAGACCUCGAUGAAGUACUACCUCUUGAACCGGAAAGUAGUGCAGCUCAGGAAAAUGUUCCUGUGGUGCCUACACCGACUGGAGAGGAAAUUAAUGAUGAUGAUCAAGGUACUUCGGAUCAAGUUGCUACUGAACUUCGUAGGUCCACAAGGACACGUUCCACAACAGAGUGGUAUGGCAACCCUGUCCUGGAAAUCAUGUUGUUAGACAACGGUGAACCUUCGAACUAUGAAGAAGUGAUGGCGGGCCCAGAUUCCAACAGAUGGCUUGAAGCCAUGCAAUCCGAGAUAGAAUCCAUGUAUGAAAACAAAGUAUGGACUUUGACAGACUUGCCCGAUGAUCGGCGAGCGAUAGAAAACAAAUGGAUCCUUAAGAAGAAGACAGACGCGGAUGGUAAUGUUACCAUCUAUAAAGCUCGACUUGUCGCUAAGGGUUAUCGGCAAGUUCAAGGGGUUGACUACGAUGAGACUUUCUCUCCCGUAGCGUAGCUGAACUCCAUCCGAAUCAUGUUAGCAAUUGCCGCAUACUAUGAUUAUGAGAUAUGGCAGAUGGACGUCAAAACGGCCUUCCUUAACGGCUAUCUUAAGGAAUAACUGUAUAUGAUGCAGCCAGAAGGUUUUGUCGAUCCUAAGAAUGCUAACAAGGUGUGCAAGCUCCAACAAUCCAUUUAUGGGCUGGUGCAAGCAUCUCGGAGUUGGAACAUUCGCUUUGAUGAGAUGAUCAAAGCGUUUGGGUUUAUGCAGACUUAUGGAGAAGCCUGCGUUUACAAGAAAGUGAGUGGGAGCUCUGUAGCAUUUCUCAUAUUAUAUGUAGAUGACAUACUUUUGAUGGAAAAUGAUAUAGAACUUUUGGACAACAUUAAGGCCUACUUGAAUAAGUGUUUUUCAAUGAAGGACCUUGGAGAAGCUGCUUACAUAUUAGGCAUCAAGAUCUAUAGGGACAGAUCGAGACGCCUCAUAGGUCUUUCACAAAGCACAUACCUUGAUAAGAUUUUGAAGAAGUUCAAAAUGGAUCAGUCCAAGAAAGGGUUCUUGCCUGUAUUGCAAGGUGUGAGAUUGAGCGUCAUCCCCUAUGCCUCGGCCAUAGGAUCUAUUAUGUAUGCCUCGGCCAUAGGAUCUAUUAUGUAUGCCAUGCUGUGUACCAGACCUGAUGUAAACCUUGCCGUAAGUUUGGUAGGAAGGUACCAAAGUAAUCCUGACAAGGAACACUGGACAGCGAUCAAGAAUAUCCUGAAGUACCUGAAAAGGGACAAAGGACAUGUUUCUCGUUUAUGGAGGUGACGAAGAGCUCGUCGUAAAGGGUUACGUCGACACUAGCUUCGACACAGAUCUGGAUGACUCUAAGUCACAAGCCGGAUACGUGUAUAUGUUGAAUCGUGGAGCAGUAAGCUGGUGUAGUUGCAAGCAGAGCGUCGUGGCGGGAUCUACAUGUGAAGCGGAGUACAUGGCAGCCUCGGAGGCAGCACAUGAAGCAAUAUGGAUGAAGGAGUUCAUCACCGACCUAGGAGUCAUACCCAAUGUGUCGGGGCCAAUCACUCUCUUCUAUGACAACACUGGAGCUAUUGCCCUUGACAAGGAGCCCAGGUUUCACAAGAAGACCAGGCACAUCAAGCGUCGUUUCAACUCCAUCCAUGAAAAUGUUCAAGAUGGAGACAUAGAUAUUUGCAAAGUACAUACGGAUCUGAAUGUCGCAGAUCCGUUGACUAAACCUCUUCCGUGAGCAGAACAUGAUCAACACCAGAACUCUAUGGGUGUUCGAUUCAUCACAAUGUAACUAGAUUAUUGACUCUAGUGCAAGUGGGAGACUGUUGGAAAUAUGCCCUAGAGGCAAUAAUGAAAGGAUUAUUAUUAUAUUUCCUUGUUCAUGAUAAUUGUCUUUUAUUCAUGCUAUAAUUGUAUUAUCCGAAAAUAGUAAUACACGUGUGAAUACUUAGACCACAACAUGUCCCUAGUGAGCCUCUAGUUGACUAGCUCGUUGAUCAACAGAUAGUCAUGGUUUCCUGACUAUGGACAUUGGAUGUCAUUGAUAACGGGAUCACAUCAUUAGGAGAAUGAUGUGAUGGACAAGACCCAAUCCUAAGCAUAGCACAAAGAUCGUGUAGUUCGUUUGCUAGAGCUUUUCCAAUGUCAAGUAUCUUUUCCUUAGACCAUGAGAUCGUGUAACUCCUGGAUACUGUAGGAGUGCUUUGGGUGUACCAAACAUCACAACGUAACUGGGUGACUAUAAAGGUGCACUACAGGUAUCUCCGAAAGUGUCUGUUGGGUUGACACGGAUCGAGACUGGGAUUUGUCACUCCGUAUAACGGAGAGGUAUCUCUGGGCCCACUCGGUAAUGCAUCAUCAUAAUGAGCUCAAAGUGACCAAGUGUCUGGUCACGGGAUCAUGCAUUACGGUACGAGUAAAGUGACUUGCCGGUAACGAGAUUGAAUGAGGUAUUGGGAUACCGACGAUCGAAUCUCGGGCAAGUAACGUACCGAUUGACAAAGGGAAUUGUAUACGGGGUUGCUUAAAUCCUCGACGUCAUGGUUCAUCCGAUGAGAUCAUCGAGGAGUAUGUGGGAGCCAACAUGGGUAUCCAGAUCCUGCUGUUGGUUAUUAACCGGAGAGCCGUCUCGGUCAUGUGUGCAUGUCUCCCGAACCCGUAGGGUCUACACACUUAAGGUUCGGUGACGCCAGGGUUGUAUGAAUAUGAGUAUGGAGCAAACCGAAAGUUGUUCAGAGUCCCGGAUGAGAUCCCGGACGUCACGAGGAGUUUCGUAAUGGUCCGGAGGUAAAGAAUUAUAUAUGGGAAGUCGAGUUUUGGCCAUCGGGAAAGUUUCGGGGUCCACCAGUAUUUACCGGGACCACCGGAAGGGUCCCGGGGGUCCACCGGGUGGGGCCACCCAUCCCGGAGGGCCCCAUGGGCUGAAGUGGGAGGGGAACCAUCCCCUAGUGGGCUGGUGCGCCCCCCCUGGGCCCCCUCUGCGCCUAGGGUUGGGAACCCUAGGGGAGGGGGCGCCUCACUUGCCUUGGGGGGCACUCCACCCCCCUUGGCUGCCGCCCCCUAGAGAUCCCAUCUCUAGGGCCGGCGCCCCCCUGGGGUCCCUAUAUAAAGAGGAGGGUGGGAGGGCAGCCGCACCCAACACCCUAGCGCCUCCCUCCACUCCCUGCUACACCUCUCCCUCCCGUAGUUGCUUGGCGAAGCCCUGCUGGAGUCCUACUGCAUCCACCACCACACCGUCGUGCUGCUGGAUCUUCAUCAACCUCUCCUUCCCCCUUGCUGGAUCAAGAAGGAGGAUAUGUCACACUAACCAUACGUGUGUUGAACGCGGAGGUGCCGUCCGUUCGGCGCUAGGAUCUCCGGUGAUUUGGAUCACGACGAGAACGACUCCCUCAACCCCGUUCUCUUGGAUGCUUCCGCACGCGAUCUACAAGGGUAUGUAGAUGCACUCCUCUCUCUCGUUGCUAGAUGAACUCAUAGAUUGAUCUUGGUGAACGUAGGAAAUUUUUUAUUUUAUGCAACGUUCCCCAACAGAAGCAUGUGAGAGCAUAACCAUGACAGAGUAAGCAAUGUGUUACAUGUAUCUUGGCUAUAUGCAUUAGAGCAAAGAAUAUUAAAGAAAAUACCUUCAUGCUCAUGAGUCCUUCUUGCAAAUAGUAUGUACAUCAGCAAGAAAUCUUCAUACACAUGAUUGUGAUGCAUAUACUUACCUUGUAGUCUUGAUUUGGCUUAGGAUGGAAUGAACCUGCACAAACAAGGUUAGAUAACACAGGUACAUCCACUAACCAGGGCAAACAGAAGAAACCACAAGAAUACCAAGACUGGGAUGACAUGAAGAAAGUGAGUACUAAGUACCACAUUGGAUUAGACAUGUCCCCAAGAGUAAAGAUAUGCAAUGAAUUUAAAUGAUUUCUUUCCCUUAGAUGUCUUGCUCCCCCUGAAUCUAGCAUGGGAUACUAGGAGAAGAUAGGGAACAAAAAAUCAGAGCUGAAAGAUAUGAAUGAACAGAGCUAGUGCAAACUAUUGCAAAUAAGCACAUAUGAACAUGUCUUUCCCCUCAAUAAGACAUGUGGUAUCUCUCCUCUUGAACACCAAGCAUCUGGGAUCCUUGAGAAAUACUUUCUACUUGAGUAUUUUCUCCCCCUGGAGAUCUCUCUCCCCCCCUGUGGAAGUGAUAUUCUCUGAUGUGAUCUCUCUCUAAACGAUAAGCUUUGAUGUGAUCUCUCUCUCCCCCUUUGACAUCAAUUUCCAAGAAGGGCUUCUGGAAUUUGUCAUGAAUGGGUUUGAUCCUUGAGUCACAGCACAAAGCAUUUAUAAAAAUGUGAUGCUUGUAGAGGACAAGAUUCAUUGAGUGGAGCUGGAACAGACGAAACACAUAAUAAGUGGCAAACUGUUUUUCCUGUGGUGAAAUCAGUGGCACCGAGUUGUAUGCUUCGGUUGUACCGAAAGAAUUCGGUUGGACCAAAAAUAACUAAUUAGUGAAAUCGAGUUCAUCGCAAAGAAAACACUUGUCACCUCAGCUCACUAGACUAAUAAGAUCUCACACAGAUUUGCAAGGAAUUAACUAAAUGAUAUGCAAUGAAUUGGAUGCAUAAAAUGCAGAGCAAACAAAAAGAAAAGAAAGAAAUCUAGAUGAAGUUUUUUUUUGAAAGGGGAAACAAAUAUGCAUGAGACAAAUGCAAAAACACAGAGACGAACACAAGAGAACUUCAUCUAGAGAUGGUCGGCGACAAGGUCACCUAUGUUAGAGUAUAUUGACUUAGGAGUCAAGUGAGAUCACUUGAUCAUAGGUCAUACUCAUCGUUUAAGCUCAAAAUGGGGUUGCAAUUUUUUGUUUAAGCAUCUUGAUGUAUUCUCAUCUUGUCGAGUUGCUUUAGCUCAUGUCUCAGAGUAAAGCUUCUCUAAGAUGGAAUAACAUACCUUGGUUGGUGGUGUUGAUCAUGUAGUUGAACUUAUGUGGGUUGCUCAAGGUUGAUGUGGCUCAUCAAGAGUUGGGAGCACCACUUGGAAUUUGAGUCCAUCUACCUACAUGGGUUAGUUCUUGCAAGGAAGAGCACUUGUAUAUCCAAAAAUGACAAUCAUGAAGCUCAACAUAGAAUUUGUCAAAGGAUAUGUUUGAAUGGUUCCGUGCUUCCUUGUCUUCAACCACGUUUGUAUAGAGACUUGGUGAAGUAGAGAUUGCUCAAGAUGUGAGUAGGUUACAAUCUCAUGGAAUUUGAUUCAACCAAGUACCUACAUGGGUUAGAUAACAUGCAAGAUGCAAAUAUGUCCAAGAUAUAAGAUUUUCAUUAUAAGAGAAAUAUCCAGGAUUAGUCAUAAGCUCAUGUCUUGCAUGUAUCCAAUGGAGUUUUUACUCCAAGUUUGAAGCAUCAAUGAUGUUCAAUUCUCCUCUCAACCUGCAAAACACUUUCUCAUCAAGAGGUUUAGUGAAUAUAUCCGCUAAUUGCUUUUUGGUGCGAACAUGCUUAAGAUCAAUGUCACCCUUAGCAACAUGAUCUCGAAUGAAAUGAUGACGAACUUCAAUAUGCUUAGUUUGAGAAUGUUGCACAGGAUUAUGUCCAAUUUUGAUAGCACUUUCAUUGUCACAAAGCAAUGGAACAUGUUUCACAUAUAUCCCAUAAUCUUUAAGAGUUUGGGUCAUCCAGAGUAAUUGAGCACAACAUGAACCAGCGGCAAUGCACUCCGCUUCGGCGGUAGAUAAGGAUACCGAGUUUUGUUUCUUGGAGGACCAAGACACAAGAGAUCUUCCGAGAAAUUGACAAGUACCCAAAGUGGACUUUCUAUCAACCUUGUCUCCGGCAUAGUCUGAGUCAGAGUAGCCAACAAGAUUGAAAGAGGCCCUCUUAGGAUACCAAAUGCCAAAAUUUGGUGUGUGUAUUAAGUAUCUCACUAUCCUUUUCACAGCCUUAAGAUGACAUUCUUUAGGAGCAGCUUGAUAUCUUGCACACAUGCACACACUUAGCAUAAUAUCGGGACAUGAAGCACAUAGGUAUAACAAUGAACCAAUCAUGGAGCGAUAAACCUUUUGAUCAACUGGUUCACCAUCUUUGGUCAAAUCAAGAUGUCCACUAGUAGGCAUGGUGUAGACAUACCUUUGCAUUCUUGCAUAUUGAACUUCUUGAAUAAGUCCUUAGUGUACUUCGUUUGAGAGACAAAAGUACCUUCCUUAGUUUGCUUGAUUUGCAACCCAAGAAAGAAUUCGAGUUCACUCAUCAUUGACAUCUCAAACUUCUCUGACAUUAGCUUUCCAAACUUCUCACUAAAAUGAGGGUUAGUUGAUCUAAAUAUGAUAUCAUCAACAUAAAUUUGGCAUACAAAUAAUUCUCCAUUAACCCUUUUAGUAAAAAGAGUAGAAUCAAUUUUCCCAAUUUCAAAUCCCUUUCCAAGAAGAAACUUCGUUAAGCAUUUGUACCAAGCUCUAGGAGCUUAUUUAAGACCAUAAAGAGCUUUGUGAAGUUUGUAAACAUGAUUUGGUUUCUUAGGAUUUGCAAAGCCGGGAGGUUGUUUAACAUAAACUUCCUCCUCUAUUUCACCAUUUAGAAAAGCACUUUAAUGUCCAUUUGGUACAAUGUGAUAUCAUGGUGAUUAGCAUAGGCAAGUAAGAUGCGAAUAGACUCAAGUCUAGCAACGGGAGCAUAAGUCUCACCAUAGUCCAUACCUUCGACUUGUGUGUAGCCUUGGGGCGACGAGACGUGCUUUGUUGCGAACUACUUGUCCAUCUUCAUCUUGCUUGUUGCAAAACACACAUUUGGUACCGAUGAUGGUGUGCUUGUUGUCGGGCUUCUCAACCAAUGUCCAAACUUGGUUUCUCUCAAAGUUGUGUAGCUCUUCAUGCAUAACGUUUAUCCAAUCCGGAUCUUCCAAUGCUUCUUCGACCUUCAUAGGUUCAAUGCUAGAGAUGAAAGAAUAGUUUUCACAAAAGUUAGCUAAACAAGUUUUAGAGUGAGUGAUUCUCCCGGUUUGAAUAUCAUUGUAGAUUUGCUCGACGGGAUGGUCUUUAGCAAUUCUUGCUCGAACUCGUGAAAGCUUUUGCUUGGGUCUUGGUUGAACAUCUUCUUCAACUUCUUCUUCUUCUUGAUCUUCUUCAUUGUUGGCGUUGUCGUUCUCUUGUCGUGGUGGAGAAGGAGGUUGUUGACGUUCUUCUUGAUGCACUUCCUCGUUUUCUUCAUCUUGGUGUGUCCCACUUGUGGAUGCUUCCGUAUCAACUCUUGGUUCACCUUGUCGUGAAGUAGAAGCUUCCACUUGGACGGACGAGGUACUCUCCUUCACCUCCGUUGGACGAACCUUGCCAAUAGACAAGUCUUGGAUUGCUUCCAAAGGAUCUUUGUCUCCUACAUCAAUUGGCAAUUGCUCUACUUGCGAGCCGUUAGAUUCAUCAAACUUCACAUCUACCGUCUCUUCAACCUUUCGGGUGAAAUUGUUGUAGACACGGUAUGUGUGAGAGUUUGAGCCAUAACCUAGUAGGAAACCUUCAUGAGACUUAGAAGCAAAUUUAGAACGACAAUGCUUAUCAAGAAUGUAGCACUUUGAGCCGAAUACUCGAAAGUAUCCAACUUGGGGUUUGUUACCGGUGAGGAGCUCGUAUGCCAUCUUGCCGAGUAGCUUGUGAAGAUACAAGCAGUUUGUUGCAUGACAAGCUGUCUCAACCGCUUCUGCCCAAAAGUGCUUCGGUGUCUUGUACUCAUCAAGCAUCGUUCUCGCCAUUUCAAUGAGCGUCCGGUUCUUCCUCUCAACAACUCCAUUUUGUUGAGGUGUGUACGUAGCCGAGAACUCGUGUGAAAUCCCUUCUUCGUCAAGAAAGGUGUCCACAUUUGCGUUCUUGAACUCCGUUCCGUUGUCGCUGCGAACCUUGUUGAUCUUCACUUCAAACUGAUUUUGGGCCUUCCUAGCGAUGUUUUUGAAGAUCUUUUGUACUUGCAAUUUUGAAGGAAAUAUGCCCUAGAGGCAAUAAUAAAGUUAUUGUUUAUUUCCUCAUAUCAUGAUAAAUGUUUAUUAUUCAUGCUAGAAUUGUAUUAACCGGAAACAAUGAUACAUGUGUGAAUAUAUAGACAAACAUAUAGUCACUAGUAUGCCUCUACUUGACUAGCUCGUUUAUCAAAGAUGGUUAUGUUUCCUAGCCAUGGACAAAAGAGUUGUCAUUUGAUUAACGGGAUCACAUCAUUAGGAGAAUGAUGUGAUUGACAUGACCCAUUCCGUUAGCCUAGCACUUGAUCGUUUAGUAUGUUGCUAUUGCUUUCUUCAUAACUUAUACAUGUUCAUGUAACUAUGAGAUUAUGCAACAACAAAGUAGAGGACGUCUAACUUGUUUUUGCAGGGCAUGUUGUGAUGUGAUAUGGUCAAGACGUGAUGCUAUAUUUUAUUGUAUGAGAUGAUCAUGUUUUGUAACCGAAGUUAUCGGCAACUGGCAGGAGCCAUAUGGUUGUCGCUUUAUUGUAUGAAAUGCAAACGCCCUGUAAUUGCUUUACUUUAUCACUAAGCGGUAGCGAUAGUCGUAGAAGCAAUAGAUGGCGUAAACGACAACGAUGCUACAAUGGAGAUCAAGGUGUCGCGCCGGUGACGAUGGUGAUCACGAUGGUGCUUCGGAGAUGGAGAUCACAAGCACAAGAUGAUGAUGGCCAUAUCAUAUCACUUAUAUUGAUUGCAUGUGAUGUUUAUCCUUUAUGCAUCUUAUCUUGCUUUGAUUGACGGUAGCAUUUUAAGAUGAUCUCUCACUAAUUAUCAAGAAGUGUUCUCCCUAAGUAUGCACCGUUGCGAAAGUUCUUCGUGCUGAGACACCACGUGAUGAUCGGGUGUGAUAGGCUCUACGUUCAAAUACAACAGGUGCAAAACAGUUGCACACGCGGAAUACUCAUGUUAAACUUGACGAGCCUAGCAUAUACAGAUAUGGCCUCGGAACACGGAGACCGAAAGGUCGAGCGUGACUCAUAUAGUAGAUAUGAUCAACAUAGUGAUGUUCACCAUUGAAAACUACUCCAUCUCACGUGAUGAUCGGACAUGGUUUAGUUGAUUUGGAUCACGUAAUCACUUAGAUGACUAGAGAGAUGUCUGUCUAAGUGGGAGUUCUUAAGUAAUAUGAUUAAUUGAACUUAAAUUUAUCAUGAACUUAGUACCUGAUAGUAUUUUGCUUGUCUAUGUUUGUUGUAGAUAGAUGGCUCGUGCUGUUGUUCCGUUGAAUUUUAAUGCGUUCCUUGAGAAAGCAAAGUUGAAAGAUGAUGGUAGCAAUUACACGGACUGGGUCCGUAACCUAAGGAUUAUCCUCAUUGCUGCACAGAAGAAUUACGUCGUGGAAGCACCGCUGGGUGCCAGGCCUGCUGCUGAUGCAACUGACGAUGUUAAGAACGUCUGGCAGAGCAAAGCUGAUGACUACUCGAUAGUUCAGUGUGCCAUGCUUUAUGGCUUAGAACCGGGUCUUCAACGACGUUUUGAACGUCAUGGAGCAUAUGAGAUGUUCCAGGAGUUGAAGUUAAUAUUUCAAGCAAAUGCCCGGAUUGAGAGAUAUGAAGUCUCCAAUAAGUUCUAUAGCUGCAAGAUGGAGGAGAAUAGUUCUGUCAGUGAACACAUACUCAAAAUGUCUGGGUAUAAUAAUCACUUGAUUCAACUGGGAGUUAAUCUUCCUGAUGAUACUGUCAUUAACAGAAUUCUUCAAUCACUGCCACUAAGCUACAAGAGCUUCGUGAUGAACUAUAAUAUGCAAGGGAUGGACAAGACUAUUCCCGAGGUUUUCGCAAUGCUAAAAGCCGCGGAGGUAGAAAUCAAGAAGGAGCAUCAAGUGUUGAUGGUUAACAAGACCACCAGUUUCAAGAAAAAGGGCAAAGGGAAGAAGAAGGGGAACUUCAAGAAGAACAGCAAACAAGUUGCUGCUCAAGAGAAGAAACCCAAGUCUGGACCUAAGCCUAAGACUGAGUGCUUCUACUACAAGCAGACUGGACACUGGAAGCGGAACUGCCCCAAGUAUUUGGCGGAUAAGAAGGAUGGCAAAGUGAACAAAGGUAUAUGUGAUAUACAUGUUAUUGAUGUGUACCUUACUAAUGCUCGCAGUAGUACCUGGGUAUUUGAUACUGGUUCUGUUGCUAAUAUUUGCAACUCGAAACAGGGACUAAGGAUUAAGCGAAGAUUAGCUAAGGACGAGGUGACGAUGCGCGUGGAAAAUGGUUCCAUAGUCGAUGUGAUCGCGGUCGGCACGCUACCUCUACAUCUACCAUCGGGAUUAGUUUUAUACCUAAAUAAUUGUUAUUUGGUGCCAGCGUUGAGCAUGAACAUUAUAUCUGGAUCUUGUUUGAUGCGACACGGUUAUUCAUUUAAAUCAGAGUAUAAUGGUUGUUCUAUUUAUAUGAGUAAUAUCUUUUAUGGUCAUGCACCCUUGAAGAGUGGUCUAUUUUUAUUGAAUCUCGAUAGUAGUGAUACACAUAUUCAUAGUGUUGAAACCAAAAGAUGCAGAGUUGAUAAUGAUAGUGCAACUUAUUUGUGGCACUGCCGUUUAGGUCAUAUCGGUAUAAAGCGCAUGAAGAAACUCCAUACUGAUGGGCUUUUGGAAUCACUUGAUUAUGAAUCACUUGGUACUUGCGAACCGUGCCUCAUGGGCAAGAUGACUAAAACGCCGUUCUCCGGAACUAUGGAGCGAGCAACUGAUUUGUUGGAAAUCAUACAUACUGAUGUUUGUGGUCCAAUGAAUGUUGAAGCUCGCGGCGGGUAUCGUUAUUUUCUCACCUUCAUAGAUGAUUUGAGCAGAUAUGGGUAUAUCUACUUAAUGAAACACAAGUCUGAAACAUUUGAAAAGUUCAAAGAAUUUCAGAGUGAAGUGGAAAAUCAUCGUAACAAGAAAAUAAAGUUUCUACGAUCUGAUCGUGGAGGAGAAUAUUUGAGUUACGAGUUUGGUUUACAUUUGAAACAAUGUGGAAUAGUUUCGCAACUCACGCCACCCGGAACACCACAACGUAAUGGUGUGUCCGAACGUCGUAAUCGUACUUUACUAGAUAUGGUGCGAUCUAUGAUGUCUCUUACUGAUUUACCGCUAUCGUUCUGGGGUUAUGCUUUAGAGACGGCCGCAUUCACAUUGAAUAGGGCACCAUCAAAAUCCGUUGAGACGAUGCCUUAUGAACUGUGGUUUGGCAAGAAACCAAAGUUGUCGUUUCUUAAAGUUUGGGGCUGCGAUGCUUAUGUGAAGAAACUUCAACCAGAUAAGCUCAAACCUAAAUCGGAGAAAUGUGUCUUCAUAGGAUACCCAAAGGAAACUAUUGGGUACACCUUCUAUCACAGAUCUGAGGGCAAGAUUUUCGUUGCUAAAAUCGGAUCCUUUCUAGAGAAGGAGUUUCUCUCGAAAGAAGUGAGUGGGAGGAAAGUAGAACUUGAUGAGGUAACUGUACCUUCUCCCUUAUUGGAAGGUAGUUCAUCACAAGAACCGGUUCCUGUGACAACUACACCAAUUGGUGAGGAAACUAAUGAUAUUGAUCAUGAAACUUCAGAUCAAGUUUCUACUGAACCUCGUAGGUCUACCAGAGUAAGAUCCGCACCAGAGUGGUACGGUAAUCCUAUUCUGGAAGUCAUGUUACUUGACCAUGAUGAACCUACGAACUAUGAGGAAGCGAUGAUGAGCCCAGAUUCCGCAAAAUGGCUAGAGGCCGAGAAAUCUGAGAUGGGAUCCAUGUAUGAGAACAAAGUAUGGACUUUGGUUGACUUGCCCGAUGAUCGGUAAGCCAUUGAGAAUAAAUGGAUCUUUAAGAAGAAGACUGACGCUGACGGUAAUGUAACUGUCUAUAAAGCUCGACUUGUUGCGAAAGGUUUUCGACAAGUUCAAGGGGUUGACUACGAUGAGACCUUCUCACCAGUAGCGAUGCUUAAGUGUGUCCGAAUCAUGUUAGCAAUUGCCGCAUUUUAUGAUUAUGAAAUACGGUAAAUGGAUGUCAAAACUGCAUUCCUGAAUGGAUUUCUGGAAGAAGAGUUGUAUAUGAUGCAACCGGAAGGUUUUGUCAAUCCUAAGGGAGCUAACAAAGUGUGCAAGCUCCAGCGAUCAAUCUAUGGUCUGGUGCAAGCCUCUCGGAGUUGGAAUAAACACUUUGAUAGUGUGAUCAAAGCAUAUGGUUUUAUACAGACUUUUGGAGAAGCCUGUAUUUACAAGAAAGUGAGUGGGAGCUCUGUAGAAUUUCUAAUAUUAUAUGUGGACGACAUAUUGUUGAUUGGAAAUGAUAUAGAAUUUCUGGAUAGCAUAAAAGGAUACUUGAAUAAAAGUUUUUCAAUGAAAGACCUCGGUGAAGCUGCUUACAUAUUGGGCAUCAAGAUCUAUAGAGAUAGAUCAAGACGCUUGAUUGGACUUUCACAAUGCACGUACCUUGAUAAAGUGUUGAAAAGGUUCAAUAUGGAUCAGGCAAAGAAAGGGUUCUUGCAUGUAUUACAAGGUAUAAAAUUGAGUCAGACUCAAUGCCCGACCACUGCAAAAGAUAGAGAGAAAAUGAAGGGAGUUCCCUAUGCUUCAGCCAUAGGCUCUAUCAUGUAUGCAAUGCUGUGUACCAGACCUGAUGUGUGCCUUGCUAUUAGUUUGGCAGGGAGGUACCAAAGUAAUCCAGGAGUGGAUCACUGGACAGCGGUCAAGAACAUCCUGAAAUACCUGAAAAGGACUAAGGAUAUGUUUCUCGUAUAUGGAGGUGACAAAGAGCUAGUCGUAAAUGGUUACAUCGAUGCAAGCUUUGACACUGAUCCGGACGAUUCUAAAUCGCAAACCGGAUACGUAUUUUUAUUAAACGGUGGAGCUGUAAGUUGGUGCAGUUCUAAACAAAGCGUCGUGGCGGGAUCUACAUGUGAAGCGGAGUACAUAGCUGCUUCAGAAGCAGCAAAUGAAGGAGUCUGGAUGAAGGAGUUCAUUACCGAUCUAGGUGUUAUACCUAGUGCAUCGGGACCAAUGAAGAUCUUCUGUGACAAUACUGGUGCAAUUGCCUUGGCAAAGGAAUCCAGAUUUCACAAGAGGACCAAGCACAUCAAGAGACGCUUCAAUUCCAUCCGGGACCAAGUCCAAGUGGGAGACAUAGAGAUUUGCAAGAUACAUACGGAUCUGAAUGUUGCAGACCCGUUGACUAAGCCUCUCUCACGAGCAAAACAUGAUCAACACCAAGACUCCAUGGGUGUUAGAAUCAUUACUAUGUAAUCUAGAUUAUUGACUCUAGUGCAAGUGGGAGACUGAAGGAAAUAUGCCCUAGAGGAAAUAAUAAAGUUAUUAUUUAUUUCCUCAUAUCAUGAUAAAUGUUUAUUAUUCAUGCUAGAAUUGUAUUAACCGGAAACAAUGAUACAUGUGUGAAUAUAUAGACAAACAUAUAGUCACUAGUAUGCCUCUACUUGACUAGCUCGUUUAUCAAAGAUGGUUAUGUUUCCUAGCCAUGGACAAAAGAGUUGUCAUUUGAUUAACGGGAUCACAUCAUUAGGAGAAUGAUGUGAUUGACAUGACCCAUUCCGUUAGCCUAGCACUUGAUCGUUUAGUAUGUUGCUAUUGCUUUCUUCAUAACUUAUACACGUUCCUGUAACUAUGAGAUUAUGCAACUCCCGUUUACCAGAGGAACACUUUGUGUGCUACCAAACGUCACAACGUAACUGGGUGAUUAUAAAGGUGCUCUACAGGUGUCUCCAAAGGUACAUGUUGAGUUGGCAUAAUUCAAGAUUAGGUUUUGUCACUCCGAUUGUCGGAGAGGUAUCUCUGGGCCCUCUCGGUAAUACACAUCACUUAAGCCUUGCAAGCAUUGUAACUAAUGAGCUAGUUAUGAAAUGAUGUAUUACGGAACGAGUAAAGAGACUUGCCGGUAACGAGAUUGAACUAGGUAUUGGAUACCGACGAUCGAAUCUCGGGCAAGUAACAUACCGAUGACAAAGGGAACAACGUAUGUUGUUAUGCGGUUUGACCGAUAAAGAUCUUCGUAGAAUAUGUGGGAACCAAUAUGGACAUCCAGGUUCCGCUAUUGGUUAUUGACCGACAAUAGUUCUAGGUCAUGUCUACAUAGUUCUCGAACCCGUAGGGUCCGCAUGCUUAACGUUACGAUGACAGUUUUAUUAUGAGUUUAUAAGUUUUGAUGUACCGAAGUCUGUUCGGAGUCCCGGAUGUGAUCACGGACAUGACAAGGAGUCUCGAAAUGGUCGAGACAUAAAAAAUUGAUAUAUUGGACGGAUAUAUUUGGAUACCGGAAAGGUUCUGGAUGAGAUUGGGAAUAUACCGGAGCUCCCGGAGGUUACCGGAACCCCCCGGUAAGUAUAUGGGCCUUAUUGGGCCUUAGUGGAAAGGAGGGAGAAGGGGCAGAGGGCCCCCCAAGCCCAAUCCGAAUUGGGAGGGGGGGCGGGCCCCCUUUCCUUCUUCCCUCCCCUCUUUUCCUUCCCUCUCCUACUCCUAAUAGGAAAGGGGGGGGGGCAAACCUACUUGGAGUAGGAUUGCCCCCCCUAGGGCGCGCCUCUCCCCUUGGCCGGCCCCCUCCUCCUCUCCCCCUUUAUAUACGGGGGAGGGGGCACCCCUAGAACACACAAGUUGAUCUACGGAUCGUUCCUUAGCCGUGUGCGGUGCCCCCCUCCACCAUAUUCCACCUCGGUCAUAUCGUCGCGGAGUUUAGGCGAAGCCCUGCGCCGGAAGAACAUCAUCAUCGUCACCACGCCAUCGUGCUGACAGAACUCAUCCCCGACGUUUUGCUGGAUUGGAGCCCGGGGAACGUCAUCGAGCUGAACGUGUGCUGAACACGGAGGUGCCGUACGUUCGGUGCUUGGAUCGGUCGGAUCGUGAAGACGUACGACUACAUCAACCGCGUUGUCAUAACGCUUCCGCUUAUGGUCUACGAGGGUACGUGGACAACACUCUCCCCUCUCAUUGCUAUACCAUCACCAUGAUCUUGCGUGUGCGUAGGAAUUUUUUUGAAAUUACUACGUUCCCCAACAGAUUUAUCAUCAAGAAAGAACACCCACGUAAAUCUUGAAAAAUCAUCAACUAUAACUAGACCAAAAGAAUUUCCACCGAGGCUUUUAUAAGCGUUGGGACCAAAGAGAUCCAUGUGAAGUAGCUCAAGUGGCCUCCUUGUGGUCAUGAUGUUCUUCACGGGAUGCCUUCCUCCAACCUGUUUACAUGCUUGACAAGCACUGCAAAGUCUAUCCUUAUCAAAUAUGACAUCGUUAACACCAAGGAUAUGAUUCCCUUUAAUAAGCUUGUCAAGAUUUCUCAUGCCAACGUGACCUAGUCGUCUAUGCCAUAACCAACCUUUUGAGGAUUUAGCAAUGAAGCAAGUUUUAGGUUGAGCCUUUUUUAGUGAAAUCAACAAUGUAUAGAUCACCUCUACGUAUGCCGGUAAAGACCAUUUUAUGAUUGUCUCGACGAAACACUUGGCAAUCUACUUCAGUAAAUAGGACAUUGAAACCGAAAUCAGCAAGUCUAGAUACUGAAAGUAAGUUGUAGCCAAGAGAUUCAACGAGCAUAACAUUCUGAAUGGAGCUGUCAUGUGAUAUGGCCACCUUACCAAGGCCAACCACCUUACCCUUUGAGUUGUCACUGAAAGUGACAUACUUUCGAGGACUAUCAUUUUCAGCAAGCUCAUGAAACAUGUCUUUAUCUCCGGUCAUGUGAUCUGUACAUCCAUUGUCAAGGACCCAUUCCUUUCCUCCUGCCAUAUAUCCCCGAAGAUUUGCCAUAAGACUAAAAUGUCUCAUUGCAUCAUCAAGAUCAAAGUCAUCAUCAUCAUCCUCAUCAUAGUAUCCGUGUUCAACAUCGUCAUGUGGUGGAUCAAUUCCUAGUGAGAGUGAUUCAUUAGUAUGAGUUUGACAAUAAUCUCCUCUAUGAAUUCCAGUAGCUUCGGAAAUAAUAUCACUAAUAAUUCCAACAUUUCCUUUGGCACGCAUAAGAUUUGUAAGUUCAAAUAGACAAUCACCAAACAUAGGAUCAUUGGAAUUCAUAUUAGUCAAGGCAAUAGACUUAUGAAGAAUUUCAUCAAGAUUUUUCAAGGAAUAAUUAGGAAAUCGUUCCUCAAGAAAUUUCCAUAUAGUGUAGGCACACUCAAGAGUAGGCAGUUUUCCAACCAAGUUUCUAGGCAAGCCUCUAGUGAUAAGAUUAACAGUUCUAACAUUCCUAAUCAUGUCAAUCGACUCAUCAAGAGUAGGAUGCAUAGGAUUAACAUAAGGUGCACAAGGACUAGCAAUGUACUUGUUCAAAUGAUAUUGAUUGAAAAUUACAAGCAUCUCAUUUUUUCACUCAUGAAAAUACUCUCCAUCAAGUAUAGGCACUCUAUGUCUAAGACUCCCCAAAGUAGACUCAUUCAUCUUCCUCCAAUGGUGACUAAACCAAAGCAAUGGAGACCAAUGCUCUGAUACCACUUGUAGGACCUUGAGAAGAGGUGUCUAGAGAGGGGGGGGGGUGAUUAGACACUAAGUACCAAAGUUGCAGUUUUUAGCAAAUUUAAGUUUAAGUGGAGUUUAGGCACAAGUUUAACAUUCACAACACAUAGCAAGCAAGCAUGCAAAGAGUAUAUGAGCAGCGGAAAAUAAAGCAUGCAACUUGCAAGAAUGUAUAGGGAAGGGUUUUGGAGGAUUCAAACACAAUUGGAGACACGGAUGUUUUUGGCGUGGUUCCGAUAGGUGGUGCUAUCGUACAUCCACGUUGAUGGAGACUUCAACCCACGAAGGGUAACGGUUGCGCGAGUCCACGGGGGGCUCCACCCAUGAAGGGUCCACGAAGAAGCAACCUUGUCUAUCCCACCAUGGCCGUCGCCCACGAAGAACUUGUCUCACUAGCGGUAGAUCUUCACGAAGUAGGCGAUCUCCUUGCCCUUACAAACUCCUUGGUUCAACUCCACAAUCUUUGUCGGAGGCUCCCAAGUGACACCUAGCCAAUCUAGGAGACACCACUCCAAGAAGUAACAAAUGGUGCGUUGAUGAUGAACUCCUUGAUCUUGUGCUUUGAAUGAUAGUCUCCCCAACACUCGACUCUCUCUCAUAGGAUUUGGAUCUGGAGGAAAGAAGAUUUGAGUGGAAAGCAACUUGGGGAAGGCUAGAGAUCAAGAUUCAUAUGGUAGGAAUGGAAUAUCUUGGCCUCAACACAUGAGUAGGUAGUUCUCUCUCAGAACUGGUAAGUUGGAAGUGUAGGUUUGCUCUGAUGGCUCUCUCCACGAAUGAAGAGGAGGUGGAGGGGUAUAUAUAGCCUCCACAAAAAAUCUAACCGUUACACACAAUUUACCAAUCUCAGUGGGACCGAAUCAACAAACUCGGUCAGACCGAUUUAGUAAACCUAGUGACCGUUAGGAUUUUCGGUGGGACCGAAAUGCAACUCGAUAGGACCGAUAUGGUUAGGGUUAGGGCAUAACGUAAUCUCGGUGAGACCGAUUACACAAACUCGGUAAGACCGAUUUUGGUAAUUAGCUAACUAGAGAGUUAGUGAGGCAAACUCGGUGGGACCGAUUACUCAAACUUGGUUGGACCAAUUUUGGUAAUAAGUUAACCAGAGAGUUUGCAUUGUAAUCUCGGUAGGACCGAUUGCUCAAACUCGGUAAGACCGAUUUUGAUAAUGGAUAUACACAAAGAGAUUACAAUCCCAUCUCGGUGAGACCGAGAUCCCUAUCGGUGAGACCGAUUUGCCUAGGGUUUGUGGCAGUGGCUAUGACAUCUGAACUCGGUGCCGCCGGAUAAAAAGAAUCGGUGUGGCCGAUUUUGGCUUGAGGUUUAGGUAAUAUGUGGAUGUGAGAAAGUAGUUGAGGGUUUUUGAGCAUAUCACUAAGCACAUGAAGCAAGAGUGCUUUGGGUGUACCAAACGUCACAACGUAACUGGGUGACUAUAACGUAAUCUCAGUGAGACCGAUUACACAAACUCGGUAAGACCGAUUUUGGUAAUUAGCUAACUAGAGAGUUGGUCAGGCAAACUCGGUGGGACCGAUUUUGGUAAUAAGUUAACCAGAGAGUUUGCAUUGUAAUCUCGGUAGGACCGAUUGCUCAAACUCGGUAAGACCGAUUUUGAUAAUGGACAUACACAGAGAGAUUACAAUCCCAUCUCGGUGAGACCGAGAUCCCUAUCGGUGAGACCGAUUUGCCUAGGGUUUGUGGCAGUGGCUAUGACAUAUGAACUCGGUGGCGCCGGAUAGAAAGAAUCGGUGUGGCCGAUUUUGGCUUUAGGUUUAGGUCAUAUGUGGAUGUGAGAAAGUAGUUGAGGGUUUUUGAGCAUAUCACUAAGCACAUGAAGCAAGAGGCUCAUUAAGCAACACCUCAUCCCUCCUUGAUAGUAUUGGCUUUUCCUAUAGACUCAAUGUGAUCUUGGAUCACUAAAAUGUAAAAUGAAGAGUCUUGAGCUUGAAGCUUUAGCCAAUCCCUUGUCCUUAGCAUCUUGAAGGAGUUCCACAUCCUUUAGUCCAUGCCACUUCAUUGUUGAACUUGUCUGAAAUAUACUAGAUAAAAGUGUUAGUCCAACAAGAGAUAUGUUGACAUUAAUUACCAAAACCACCUAGGGAGCACUUGUGCUUUCACCGGCGAUGCGCCAUAGUUCGGCUCCGCCCACUUGAUAUAUCGACCCCUCGUGAGAGCGGGGCAUAAGGCAGAACAACUUCUUCCAUAGCGCGAAAUGAGCCUCGAUGCCCAAAAACAACUCGCAAAGGGCUACGAAGCCCGCAAUAUGCAAUACGGAGGCAGGUGUAAGGUUGUGCAACUGGAGGCCGUAGAACUCCAGGAGCCCCCGGAGAAACAGUUGAAUUGGAAAUCCGAGCCCUCUUAUCAAAUAAGGGACAAGGCAUACCCUCUCUCCUUUGGAGGGACUAGGGACGCUCUCCGCUUGCUCUCCACCAUUAUAGGUGGCAAGCCCGGCUCGAACCGGGACCAUGUAGGCCGGGGGGAGAAACCCCUUGGCUUGGAGCGCCACUAGCUCGCUGUGCGGGACGGAGCAUCUCUCCCAAUCUCCAGGCUGAGGGCUGGGGGGGGGCGAGAGGAGGAGCUGCGUCGACUGGCCAUGAUGGAAUGGAUCUCUGUCGAAUGCGCUCCAAUGAAUGCUCGUGGAGGGAAGAUGGUGUGAUUUGGAUCUAAAUCCCCGUCUCUUUUAUGGGCGGCUCAUUUGCGCAGCUAGGGGGGUAAAUGAAAAAAUACCCUGGCUUUUCGCAUUCGUUUGACACGUGAAAGAUGACCAUUAUUGGGCACAGAAGCCAAGGAGCGCAACAUGCACUAGAAGCCAGACACUAUUCAACAGGUAUAUGGAAUUUGGAGAAGAACCCGCCUUGCAAUGCCGAAGACAAAUCUGCGCGCCGGACUCAUCGUCAUUGAAGCCUGGUUCGGGGGCUACUGAGGGAGUCCCGGAUUAGGGGGUGUCCGGAUAGCCGGACUAUAACCUUUGGCCGGACUCCUGGACUAUGAAGAUACAAGAUUGAAGACUUCGUCCCUUGUCCGGAUGGGACUUUCCUUGGCGUGGAAGGCAAGCUUGGCGAUACGAAUAUGUAGAUCUCCUCCCAUUAUAACCGACUCUGUGUAACCCUAGCCCUCUCCGGUGUCUAUAUAAACCGGAGGGUUUUAGUCCGUAGGACGAACAACAAUCAUACCAUAGGCUAGCUUCUAGGGUUUAGCCUCUCUGAUCUCGUGGUAGAUCUACUCUUGUACUACCCAUAUCAUCAAUAUUAAUCAAGCAGGAGUAGGGUUUUACCUCCAUCGAGAGGGCCCGAACCUGGGUAAAAACAUCGUGUCCCUUGUCUCCUGUUACCAUCCGCCUAGACGCACAGUUCGGGACCCCCUAUCCGAGAUCCGCCGGUUUUGACACCGAUACCCGUGGUGCUGUUGCUUGUAGCCGCUGCUACUGCUCCUUGCCGCUGACCACGAGCUCCAGCUCGAAGGGAGGCCGGCGAGGGCGGCGGAAGCAGGGAGGUCGCAACACCUCGACUUCGCAUGCGGCUGCGCGGGCUUCUCCUCCGGCACCCUCUGGCAUGGAAGGCCACCGGAGUGCAUGGCGGCAAAGGCCACCGGAGCAUGAGGGGGCGUCUGGGCGCCGACUGAAAGCAACAUAGGAUGAUGCACAGGAGGUGUUUGGUAAAAUGCCAAAGGAAAAUACAGAGAGGACGAAGAAGAACGGCGUGUGAGCCCCACCUGUCAUAACGGUCAACUUAACUGUCAAACUAAACAGAGUUGACCGUGCCGCCACGUCACCCCUGACAGGUGGGUCCCGCAUGUCAUAAAUGUGUUUAAAUCGUCUAAACCAGUCAUUUUUCAAAAAUGGUAAUUUUUAGUCACAAAAUUAGAAAAUUUUGGUACUUAUCAGUCACUUUUUUGAAUGUGAUAGUUUUGUGGGACGGUACCCCCUAAUGUGUUAGUAUUUUGUCAAAUACUCUAUCUUCACCGGUCUGAAGGUGGUGUUAGCUGGGAAGGGCAAAAUGGCAAGGGAAGCAUAAACGGUAAUAGGCUACGCAUGGUUAGACACAAGUCCAGACGCUGCAGGAAUCGUAACUCCAACUUUAUCGAGUGUAUGCUCUGAAGUCUCCUCUAUGCAUCAUCCUUUAAUUUGUCCGUAACGCAGGCAGAGUAUUAUAAGAGACAAACUUCCGAAAGGAACAAACUUUUUUAAGAAGCAAAUAAGGUAUAGUAGUGUUCUCUAAUUACAGUGAAGAUCUCCAUGAUAACUCUACUCAUUGGAUGCUAAACAUACAAAGAGUCACACGCAAUUACACGCUGAUUAGGAUUCUUUCUUUCUAACUAAUCACCCCCCGAUUUUCACGGGAUGGGGCCCUCCUGCCCCUUAAUCUUCAAUCAAAACCCACCUGUUUGUAAAACCCAUGUAAACCUAUGUAUGUGUAGCAUUACUCCUCAUGGUUUAUAUCGAGUAAUGCUACAUUCACGGAUCAUUACGAGGGUUUUACAUGGUCAUUAUGGGUUGGCAAAUGGUGACUGGGUUAAGAGGGAGGGAGGGGCCCCACCCACCUGAAAAUCAGGGGGGGGAGUGGAGACUGGAGAGUAUUAGAGGAAGCAAACCUCUGUAACUCAGUCCGUGGGUGUAGCAAUUUCGGUCUAUAUCAACACUCCGUAAAAAGCUGCCCGUAUGUUCAGAACUUUUGUUACUCCACUCAUGGCCAUCAUCACUCUCGGAAGGAACGAACUUUCUUAACAAGCAAAUAAGAUACAGCAGUAACGUUCUGUAAUUACAGUGAAGAUCGUUGUAGAGCUAGUUCUUGGGCAGGAGCACGCCGCGGACCAGCUCGUCGAAGUUUCGGUGAGACGAGCCUCCGGGCAUGGCCGCCUUGACCGUGCUCUCCUUCCAGUCCCGCGCUCUCUUCCUCAUGCUUUUCCCCUUCUCCCCUUCCAUGAUCUCCGUGAUAAGUCCGGCGACGGCCUCACGCCGGACGUUGCUGUCGAUCUCCACGCCGACGCCCCACUCAGUGCACUGGUACCUGCAGUUGGUCUGCUGGUCGGCGAAGAACGGCCAGCUGAUCACCGGCACACCACCGCACAAGCUCUCGAGCGCCGAGUUCCAGCCACUGUGCGUCAGGAAGGUGCCCACGGCAGGGUGGUCCAGCACCUGCUGCUGCGGGCACCAGGACGCCAUGAGCCCGCGCCCGGCCGUCUCGGCCAGGAACUCCUCGGGGAGCACCGCGGCGUCGCCCUUCACCAGGUCUCGGCGGACGAUCCACAUGAAGUGCUUCCCGCUCUGCGCCAGCCCCCACGCGAACUCCACCAUCUGCGCGUUGGUCAUGACGGUGAUGCUACCGAAGUUGACGUAGACGACGGAGCCGGGCUCCCUGCCGUCCAGCCACUCGAGGCAUUCGUCCUGCUCCUUCCAGAGGCUGAGGUUGAUGGCGGAGCGCGGCGUGGGCGGCUGCUCGUGCGCCAGCAGCGGGAGCGGGCCGAGCGUGUAGACCUUGGGCAGGCCGAGCGCCUCCAUGGCCUCCACCGCCUCGCCCUCCAGGUCGUCGAAGCUGUUGAGGAUGACGGCCGACGCGCCGGCCGUGCGCUCCGUCUCCCGCAGGACGUAGUGCAUCAUGUACUCGUCCGGGUCCGUGGUGCGUAUGAAGGACGGGAAGUCCCUGAGCCUCAUGCUCCGCAACCCCGGCACGUCCUCCACCGGCGUGUCAAGGUAUCCGUUCGUCAGCUUCUCGGCGUCUGCACGCGUGUAAAGACAGACGAGCUUCGAUCAGCAGCUGACAAUGGCCGCAUCGAGCUGAAAUACUUGGCGCGCGCACUAACAACAAAACAAAAACCUUACGUACCUUUGAGUGGGGCGAGGCCACGGUUGAUGAGGAGGCGGUAGUGGCGGUACCCGAGGUAGCUGAUGGCGCUGGCGGUCCAGAGCUGGACGUAGGGGAGGCCGAGCUCGUUGGCGGCCUCCAUGGAGAACCCCAUGACAACGUCCGAGACGACGCAGGUGACGGGCGGGUGGCCGGUGGCGGGGUCGUUGAGCCGGGUGAGGAGGUCACGGAAGGGUCCCAGGCAGGUCUCCGUGGUGGACUUGCAGAGCGCAGGGAUGUCCUGCGUGACGUCGUCGUCGCCGGACGGCGGCAGGCCGUCGGGGAUGGUGGCAAAGCGGAAGCCCGGGAGGCCGGCCACGGCGGCGGGGCCGCGGGAGCGGACGAGGCGGGCAUGGUUGUACUCGGUGUUGACGAAGGUGACGUCGAAGCCCCGGGCGUGGAGCAGCUUGGCCACGUUGAGCAUCGGGGUGAUGUGCCCCUGCGCCGGGUACGGCAGGCACACCGCGUGCGGCUUCCUGGCGGCAGGUCCCAUCGAUCCCAUCUCCGCCGCAGACGACUCCGAGUGUUCCUAGCUGACCCAAGAUCGGUCGAUGGCAACAAUGGCUUCCUCCUGGCUGAGCUCUCGUACGUGGCUGGCAUUUGCUUCGUUUGGGAACUUGGUUGGCUGUGGAUCGAACUCGGCAAGGGCGCGGCAGUAUUUAUAGGCAUGGCUUGCUCAGGUAGCAUGACAGUGAGAAUCGCCAUUUUGUUAUGAAUAACGCAAGUGAUGACGUCUUGGUUGGAUGAGUAUAUUUGUUUGUUUAUUGCAACAAACAUGGCUGCUUCUAUGAGAUAUCGUGUUGGUUAGACAAUUAUAUUGUUUGUUUGUUGCUACUACUACAUGGCUGCUUCGAGGAUAGAGACUUGAUGGUCCUCCACGCAAAGCAGCCGGGCCGGGCGUGUGAUCAGCACGAGGUCGGUACGCGCGCAACGGCGCCGCAUGGGCAAUAGCCGGCAAGCUGGCAGCCGCCCGGCGAUCCUGCUCCGGCCAUGCGUCAACUGUCAAGCGAUCCGGUGCGUUGCGAAAACAAGUUAAACAACACACUCCUUACUACACGUAUGGCUUUUUUCUUUUCUUUUUUGUGAGAACCUCCACGUAUGGCUUUGACCAUGCUUCAGUCAUCCACAGUGGCUGCGUGCUUGCGAGCGCUCCUCUGAAACUAAGCUUAGUCGAUGGUUAGCAAAUUUGUACAUUUCCUUGACCCGUAAUCUUGAGCUGUUGGCAUGCAGUUGCCAUUAGUGUGGCCUCUCCUGGGGUAUGGGAAAACGAAAGACAGAAGGCAACAACUCUCUGACCAUAAUGCAAUACGUUUUCUUUGGAUGAACUGGUGCAUUUGCUGUGCAACAGACAAGAAAUGGGUCCAGAACGACGGCGGCUGCAUGCACGGUGCGAUCGUUCAAGUCAAGAGUAGCAAAUUAUGGCGUUUGACAUCUUGGUCACGUAACUGAGAAAGGAGUGCAGGUUGUCCAUGCAAACCAGUACCUACUUAAAACCCUAUCAACCUGGAUUGACGCCAUCAGCACACGAGUCAUCAUUAUCACCCCUCGCAACUUUUUUUAACUUGUGCCCUUUAUUAGAAAAAGGAAGAAGUCCAUUUUAAACCCUGAAUUUGUAGAGGUUCGGCGAAAUGAACCCUCAAAUCGAAAUCCCGGUCGAUCUCACCCUGAACUAUGCAACCCCAGUCUAAAUCGAACCUUCGGGUCAUUUGGAUGGCUGGGAUUCAGACAUUUCGCAAAGGGCGCACACCAGCUCCUGCUGGGCCAGCCCGUUUAAUUUUUUUUCCGUUCAAAAACAAAAAUUCACAAAAGGCGCUACACCCUGCUCCCUUGCUGGGCCGGCCCGCAUAUGUUUUUCGUGAAAACAAAAAAAAAA
rnacentral:lncRNA from 1 species